UUCAUUUUAUCCUUUGGCAAGCACCUCGUGUUGGAGAGAUCCUGAUAUAUAUAUAUAUAUAUCCAAUUGGAUGUAAGUUAGCAUGAAUUAUUAUUGUUGACAUCACCCAAAGGUGAAUACGUUGGGAGGCAACACAAUAAGCCCCUAUCUUUCUCAGUGUCCGGUUGAAACUCCAUAACCACAAGUAUUGCGUGAGUGUUAGCAAUUGUAGAAGACUAUAUGAUAGUUGAGUAUGUGGACUUGCUAAAAAGCUCUAUUCUUGACUCUUUCUGAUGUUAUGAUAAAUUGCAAUUGCUUCAAUGACUGAGAUUAUAGUUUGUUAGUUCUCAAUGAAGUUUUUGAACCAUACUUGACAUUGUGAAUUGAUUUUUACUUGAGCAUAAGAAAUCAUAUGACAAAUUCUAUAUAUGGUGCUGUUAUAAGAAUGAUCAUGAUGCCCUCAUGUCCGUAUUUUAUUUUUAUCGAUACCUCUAUCUCUAAACAUGUUGACAUAUUUUUCGAUUUCGGCUUCCGCUUGAGGACAAGCGAGGUCUAAGCUUGGGGGAGUUGAUACGUCCAUUUUGCAUCAUGCUUUUAUAUCAAUAUUUAUUGCAUUAUGGGCUGUUAUUACACAUUAUGUCUCAAUACUUAUGGCUAUUCUAUCUUAUUUUACAAGGUUUACCAUGAAGAGGGGGAAUGCCGACAGCUGGAAUUCUGGCUGGAAAAGGAGCAAAUAUUGGAAUCCUAUUCUGCACAGCUCCAAAAAUCCUGAAACUCCACAGAAGUCAUUUUUGGAAUUAAUAAGAAUUUUUGAGCGAAGAAAACACCAGAGGGGGCCCACACCCUGGCCAGGAGGGUGGGGGGCGCGCCCACCCCUACUGGGUGCGCCCCUGUCUCCUGGGCCCCCUGGUGGCCCUCCGGUGCCCAUCUUCUGCUAUAUGAAGGCUUUUACCCUAAAAAAAAAUAAUCAUAAGCAAGCUUACGGGAUGAAACUCCGCCACCACGAGGCGGAACCUUGGCAGAACCAAUCUAGGGCUCCGGCGGAGCUGUUCUGCCGGGGAAACUUCCCUCCGGGAGGGGGAAAUCAUCACCAUCGUCAUCACCAAUGAUCCUCUCAUCGGGAGGGGGUCAAUCUCCAUCAACAUCUUCACCAGCACCAUCUCCUCUCAAAACCCUAGUUCAUCUCUUGUAUCCAAUCUUGUAUCAAAACCACAAAUUGGUACUUGUGGGUUGCUAGUAGUGUUGAUUGCUCCUUGUAGUUGAUGCUAAUUGGUUUACUUGGUGAAAUAUCAUAUGUUCAGAUCCUUAAUGCAUAUUAAUACUCCUCUGAUUAUGAACAUGAAUAUGCUUUGUGAGUAGUUAUGUUUGUUCCUGAGGACAUGGGUGAAGUCUUGCUAUUGGUAGUCAUGUGAAUUUGGUAUUCGUUCGAUAUUUUGAUGAGAUGUAUGUUGUCUCUCCUCUAGUGGUGUUAUGUGAAUGUCGACUAGAUGACACUUCACCAUUAUUUGGGCCUAGAGGAAGGCAUUGGGAAGUAAUAAUUAGAUGAUGGAUCGCUAGAGUGACAGAAGCUUAAACCCUAGUUUAUGCGUUGCUUCGUAAGGGGCUGAUUUGGAUCCAUAUGUCUAAUGCUGUGGUUAGGUUUACCUUAAUACUUCUUUUGUAGUUGCGAAUGCUUGCAAUAGGGGUUAAUCAUAAGUGGGAUGCUUGUCCAAGUAAGGGCAGUACCCAAGCACCGGUCCACCCACAUAUCAAAUUAUCAAAGUACCGAACGUGAAUCAUAUGAACGUGAUGAAAACUAGCUUGACGAUAAUUCCCAUGUGUCCUUGGGAGCGCUUUUCUCAUUAUAAGAAAUUGUCCAGGCUUGUCCUUUGCUACAAAAAGGAUUGGGCCACCUUGCUGCACUUUAUUUACUUUCAUUGCUUGUUACCUGUUACAAAUUAUCUUAUCACAAAACUAUCUGUUACCUACAAUUUUAGUGCUUUCAGAGAAUACCUUACUGAAAACCGCUUGUCAUUUCCUUCUGCUCCUCGUUGGGUUCGACACUCUUACUUAUCGAAAGGACUACGAUAGAUCCCCUAUACUUGUGGGUCAUCAACCACCGUCCUGGCUUAAUGUGUGACUAUACUGGUGAUCUGAAAGAUCCCCAAUGCCACUGUGACAUUCAAUUGUCAGACGCAGAAAUCACUGAGGCCACCAAGGCAUUGUUGAACAAAUCUUGGGCAGAUUGUAGUAAGACAGGACUUCGUCCUUUUUGUACUUUCAACAAACCUCCCGUUGUAAGUGUUGCAUAAUUGUUCAAUCAUAUUUUCAUUAAUACUGUCCACUUAUAAUCUUUUUGACCUCAACAGGCUGACUCUUCCUUUCGAAGAAGAAACCGCAGGAUAAGCCAGCCAAACCAGCUCAUACCAAAACCAAGGUCACCAAGUAGCCUGCCAAGAAGAAGACCACCGAGCCGCCAAUUUAAACUUGGAUGAUGACAAUGAUGAAGAUGAGUCGGAGGUAGAACUUGACUCUCUUGGCUCAUUUUUUAUACAUCUCAUUGACAAUGAUUGUUAUCAGGAGGAAGCCGAGGCCAGCCGUGCGGGUGACAAUGAGGUAAUUGUUCUUUCCUCCGGCUCAGAGUCUGUGCCAAAACAGAAAACUCACGAGGCAAGCCAGAAAGUAAGGUUUUCUCAUCCUUUAGCUUAUCUGGAUCCCAACUUUAUUUUGAAGAAACAGCAACACGAAGCUCGCCGUACGACCCGGAACAGUGGAAGCGGGGUCCUUUCUUCUGGCUUACCAAACACCCCUGCCCCUCAUAAGCGUCGUUCAGAGGUCUCAACCACUUCCGACUUAAUUUAUCCCAGGGCCAGUUUUUACCUACAACCUCUUAAUCCCUCCGACUCAAAUUAUCAGGGAACAUCUCAUUCCUCCUCGGGCGACUCAACAGGAACUCAUGUCCCGGCCUUCAAACCGGUGCUAGGUAAUGUUACUAAACCUUUAUUUCCAAUCAUAUAUUCAUCUGUUGUGCUAACCUUUGCCUUGUAUUUUAUUUACAGGGCCAUAGCCAAACCUAGCAAGAAGGCGAAAGUGAUGAAAACUCCUGAGAAUCCUUCUGAGCCGGAGCAACAAUUCGUAGGAAUCUCUCAUGAACCGCCUCUGGUCAAUCACAAUGCCGAUGUUGAUCCGAUGAAUGUGUAUGCAACUAUUAAUCCACCAAGCCCUGCUAAGCCGGCUAGUCCUAUUAAGCCGCCAAGCCCUGCCAAAGCGCCAAGCCCCGUCAAACAUACUGAAGAUAAAGCUGGUGAUGAUGAUGUUGCUAUAACCGGGCAUGGUUAUAUAGCUCCGGGCCAACCCAGUGUUUUGUCAAGACACAGUGCUAAGGAGGAAUUCUCUGUUGCUGAUAAAGGUAAAUGGUCAACCAAUCUGGACAAUUAUGCUCAACUCAGCGCUCAAGAAAUUCAUUCCGGAUAUUUAAACCGCCUUUACGCCAGCCGUGAUUAUGAAUCCGGCUUGGUAAACCUGAUGAAGGAGCGUUUGGAGGUAAACACUGCGACUCUUAUUCUUAUAAUCAUACUUGCCUUAGCCGCCAAGUUUACUGGAUAUGGUAUAAUAGCAUGUGAUGUAAACUUCAAUAAUUUCCAUAGAUCAAAUCCUGUAGCCCCCAAGGACCGGCUUAUGCUUUCAACAUAAAUCGGGACUUCCAAUAACAAUACUUCAACCUUGCAUGUGUAGCCCCCAUGAAUCAGCUAUACUCAUCAUAUGACAAUCAGGUCGUCUUAAACUUGUCUUGAAAAGAGCAAUGGUACAUUAGCCCCCAAGUGCCAAGUGAAAUACUUCUAUUAUGCUUGGGACUUCAAAUGAAUUCAGAACGACCCUUACUCAUUGUUUAUAUCUUUUAGGCUGAGCUUAACAGCAAAGGAUCCCAAGUCGCUGAUCUUCAAGAGAACAUUAAAUCCCAGCAAGCAGAGACUUCCAAGGCCAAAGCUGAACUGACCACUGCCUUAUCAAACAUGGAAAAGUUGAAAAAAGAUUUCAAAGCUGACCAGGCUGACUGGGAAAUAGAAAAGUCAACUCUGUUGAAGAGAGCGGAAGAUGUUGAAACGGCUCUUAAAUCGGUAGCUGAAGAGCUCGUCGGUUUAAAACACCAAAUUGAUGCCAUGACCGCUGCCAUCUUUGGUAAGUAAUUUCAUCUCAGUACUUGCUUUGAAUGCAUUAUUCAUCCGGCUUAUAAAUUUCUUGUUGAUACAUGCUCCAGAGUUGCCCACCUUGGCACAGACAUGCGCAAAAAGUUGAAAGCCGCCUACACCCUUGUAGAGCAAUUAUAUACAGGCGCGCAACGGGUCAUCUGCAUAGCUGCACACAAGAAGCAGCCUUCCACCCUUAUCAAAGAGACAUUGGAGAAACUUUCUGUGAUGCCUUUGAGGAUCGAAGAGCUGAAGAAAUCUGCUACAAGAGCCGGUGCCCUUACUGCACUAACCCGGGCCAAGGCAUGGCAAGCUGAUCUUGAUCCGGCUGACUUAGCAAUUGGCUGCCCCGGUGUCAAAGAAGACGGGUCACCCUUUAGCGCAGAAGAUUUUGCGACCAUAGCAAGGGAAAUGCGCCCUCUGGCAAGUAAGCUAGCUUAAGAUACUAAUCUUACACAUUACCAGCCAGUUUACGACACCGACAACAAGACGAUCAAGGUGCUGAUUCAUGAGUCAUAGGAUCUGACUCCGCCCAUCCGUAAGCAUACUUUCGCCCCUGAUCUUGACCCGUCCACUCUUAUAAGUGACGAAGCUGUAUUUAGAGCCUUGACCGGGAUCAACUGGGCAACCACUGAUUUCCAGCCAAUGGGUGAAGAAGAACAUGAUGAGCAGGUGUUGGAUGAUCCACAACCUUCAACUCAUCAAGGCCAAAACCAGUAAGCCACAGGCCGGCUUAGAGUCUGUUCUCUGUGAAACUAUGAAACAAUUAUUCUCGUGGGCCAUCAGUUGCCUUGUAAUAGGCUAGUAAAAUACUGAUCUGUCGUGCCAUCGUGCAUGUUUGGCUUGCAUAACACUGAUGAUCCAUCACUGGGAAAUUCGUCCCUUAUAUUUUGUGAUAUGAUGAAUUAUGCAGAUCCGGUUUGCCGUUUUUCCCUGUAUAUAAACAAGUGCCCUGGCAGUUUACCCCAGGGUGGGUCAUGAUACCCCAUAUAUAAAAAAUCACCGAGGACUGAUCAGCCCUAAUCAGGGCCGGUAUAAAAACCUUGUAUAAUAAAAUAAAUAUCAUACCUAUGAUAUUUGUUCAUCAUGCCGACUUAUCAUAAGUCAUGUGUAAAGGCAAUAGCCCAUAGACAUAAGCAUAGUGCCCUGUUCAAUAUAUGUACACUGCCGGUUUAUAACACCACAUGCAGCAAGGGGUAACAUCCCAAACUUGAGCGGAAAGCUCUAAGCAUGUGAUUAUUGUAUCCCGGCGACUUAUAGUCCAAAGCCAAGCCGGGUUAAUAACACUCCGGAUAAAGAUAUACAUGCACCAUCAGGCAAUGUGGCCCUAUUUGUUUUUUUAACCAUGUAUUGAUAUGUAACAAGAAGCAAAACUUCAAAAAAUGUUCAAACAAAAGACAAACAAAAAAAUGAGGCUUUCAUAGGUCGCCAAGCCUAAAACCCAAGUGCUUUCAUGGGCCGCACAUCCGCUGAGUUAAACCUUAAUUCAAAACCUUGUAAGCCGGGCCUCAUAUGACCAAUCACCGUUUUGACAAGUUCAAUGUCUUUAUAAGAAUAACUGUCAAGAGUAUAGUGGGUCAUUCUAGGAUUACCUGGGCAGAGUGGCAAACUUACAAAGGCAGGCUAACCCAGAUUUUUCAGUGAAUACACCUAGGCGUCCAAGCCUAAAGGGUCAUAGCUAUGCUAGUGAGCCCCCAAGUUUUACUUCAGGUCUAUAAAUCGGAAGCCUCUAAGUACCUUUCAAUCAUGGCGUAUAAGCCGGAUCAAAUAGUAACGCUAUGUUCUUUUUGGUGAAUACACCUAUGUUUGAACAGGAAGCUCCCAAAUGACAUAUAAUGAGCCUGAAGGCAGGAUACCUAUGUUUGAACUGCGCAGUGCAGCAAGUUCUCUUUGUUAAUCCUUUAAUUUGGACAGGAAGCCCUCAAAUGAUUUGUAAUAAGGCGUGUAAGCCGGAUCAAGAGGGUAAGCACAGCUAUGCCCAUCGAGCAGGAAGCCCCCAAGUGAUCAUAUGAAGUGACAAUAAAGACUCAUAUUCUUAGAAAUGAAAUGAUAGAGGCCCUGAAUUAUCAGGGAUGCCGGCUGUAUUAUAUUCAUGAUAAUAUAUACAUCGAUAACGUAUGUACAUCAUAAGAGCCGGUGGCUCAGGUGUAAUAAGGCCGAAGAUGAGCAAUAUUCCAUGGCCGGCGGGUCUCCUCCUCCGACGUGCGUGAGUCCUUAUGGUCUCGAACAUCGAUAAGGUAGUAUGAUCUGUUGUUCAGAUUCUUGCUGACCACAAAGGGCCCUUCCCAAGGUGGGGAUAGCUUAUGCAUGUCAGUUUGAUCCUGGAUGAGCCAGAGCACGAAGUCGCCUUCUUGAAAGGUUCUGUUUUUAACCCGGCGGCUGUGAUAACGCCGCAGAUGUUGCUGAUAAAUCGCCGAAUGAGCCGCCGGAAGGUCACGCUCCUCAUCUAACAGGUCAAUAGCAUCCUGACGUGCCUUCUCAUUGUCAGCUUCAACAUAAGCCUUCACAUGAGGCGAUUGUGACGUAUGUCACUGGGGAGAACCGCCUCAGCUCCAUAAACCAUGAAGAAAGGCGUGCAACCCGUAGAUCUGUUGGGGGUGGUAUUGAUACUCCAAAGUACUGAGGGCAACUCUUCCACCCAACAACCCGGUGUUCUCUGCAAAGGAACCAUAAGACGGGGCUUGAUACCUCUCAAGAUUUCCUGAUUUGCUCGUUCAGCUUGGCCAUUAGACUGGGGGUGAGCUACUGAUGACACAUCAAGCCGGAUAUGCUCUUGUUCAUAGAAUUCUUUCAUUGCUCCUCUAGACAGAUUAGUACCAUUAUCAGUGAUGAUACUAUGAGGAUACCCAAAAUGAAAGAUCACCUUUUUAAUGAAUUGAACCGCCAUGGCUACAUCACAUUUGCUGACCGGCUCAACCUCAACCCACUUUGUAAACUUGUCAACCACCACCAAGAGGUGGGUCUUUUUAUCUUUGGACCUUUUGAAAGGCCCAAACAUAUCCAGCCCCCAGAAUGCAAACGGCCAAGUAAUUGGAAUCAUCCUCAACUCUUGAGCCGGCACAUGAGCACGUCUUGAGAAUUUCUGACAACCAUCACAUUUACUGACCAGAUCUUCUGCAUCAGCAUGAGGUGUCAGCCAAUAAAACCCAUGACGAAAAGCUUUAGCAACAAGAGACUUAGGGCCGGCAUGAUGACCGCAAUCUCCUUCAUGAAUCUCCCUUAGAAUUGCAUGGCCCUCCUUAGGAGAAACGCAUCAUUGAAACACCCCUGUAAUACUGCAUCUGUGAAGCUCACCUUUGACAAUAGUCAUUGACUUAGACCGCCGAGUUAUCUGCCUGGCCAAAGUUUCAUCCUCAGGUAACUCACCUCGGGUCAUGUAAGCCAAAUAUGGAAUAGUCCAAUCAGGGAUAGCACAAAGAGCCGCCACCAAUUGUGCCUCCGGGUCAGGAACUGCCAAGUCUUCCUCCGUAGGCAAUUUCACUCAUGGGUUAUGCAAAAUAUCGAGGAAGAUAUUAGGGGGGCCGGCUUACGCUGAGAUCCCAUCCGUCUUAACGCAUCAGCUGAUUCAUUUUUCCUUCAUCAACAUGCUCCACCUGAUAUCCUUUGAAGUGACCAACAAUAGUAUCCACCUCUCGACGAUAAGCCGCCAUGAGUGGUUCCUUGGAAUCCCAGGUCCCUGAUACUUGCUGAGCCACCAGAUCCAAAUCGCCAAAACAUCUUACUCGGCUUAAAUUCAUCUCUUUAGCCAUCCGAAGACCAUGGAGUAAGGCUUCAUAUUCAGCUACAUUGUUAGUACAAGGGAACAUCAACCUUAAAACAUAACAAAAAUUAUCACCUCGUGGGGAAGUCAAUAUAACUCCAGCCCCCGAGCCUUCCAACUGCCUGGAUCCAUCAAAAUGAAUAGUACACUACAUAUGAUCUGGCUUAUCCUCGGGCAUCUGCAACUCCAUCCAAUCAUUGAUGAAAUCCACAAGUGCUUGAGAUUUUAUAGCCGUCCUAGGCACAUACUUCAGACCAUGGGGGUCCAAGCUCAAUGGCCCACUUAGCUACCCGACUUGUGGCCUCCCUAUUUUGAAUAAUAUCCCCCAAAGGGGCAGAGCUAACCACAGUGAUGGGAUGACCAAGGAAAUAUUGCUUCAAUUUAUGACUAGCCAUGAAAACACCAUACACCAGCUUCUGCCAAUGUGGGUAUCUCUGCUUAGACUCAAUGAGCACCUCACUGACAUAAUAAACUAGCCUUUGAACUGGAUGCUCCUUGCCUGACUCCUUGCUUUCAACCACAAUUGUUACACUGACAACCCGGUUGUUUGCAGCCACAUAUAACAACAAAGGCUCCUUCUCAAUGUGAGCUGCAAGAACCGGCGGCUCAGCCAGUUGCUUCUUAAGUGCCUCGAACACAUCAUUAGCAGCAUCGCUCCAGACAAAAUCAUCUGUCUUCUUCAUCAUCUGAUAUAGAGGGAUGGCUUUCUCUCCCAGGCAACUUAUAAACUGGCUCAAAGCCGCAAUACGACCCGCCAGACACUAUACGUCAUUGAUACACGCCGGCUUAGCCAUAGAGGUGAUAGCCUUAAUCUUCUCUGGGUUAGCUUCAGUGCCUCUCCCAGAUACUAAGAAACCCAAUAGCUUGCCUGCUGGCACACCAAAGACACACUUGGCCGGGUUAAGCAUCAUCUUGUAGACCCGGAGGUUGUCAAAGGUUUCCUUCAGAUCUUCAAUCAACGUCUCCUUCUUUCUAGAUUUCACAACAAUAUCAUCCACAUAAGCAUGAACAUUAUUACGCCCAAUCUGGCCAUGAAGGCAAUUCUGGACACACCGCUGGUAAGUUGCCUGGGCACUCUUGAGCCCAAAAGGCAUAGACACAUAGCAGAAGGCUCCAAAGGGAGUGAUGAAGGUUGUCUUCUGCUAGUCCUUAACUGCCAUUUUGAUCUGAUGAUAACCAUAGUAAGCAUCCAACAAAUUCAAGCGCUCACAACCCGCCGUAGCAUCAAUAAUCUGAUCAAUAUGAGGGAGAGCAAAGGGAUCAGCUGGACAAGCCUUGUUAAGGUCUGUAUAAUCCACACACAUACGCCAAGUGCCAUUCUUCUUAGGGAAAAUUUUGUUUUUGCCACUCCAGAUUUUGCCAAUUUUCCUUAUGCCACUCUAGGUUUUGCCAUUUCACUUUUGCCACUCUUAGUUUUUGACAACUAUCACAAUUGCCAUUCCCGUGGCGAAAGCAAAACUUUCAAAGUGGCAAUUGUGAUAAUUGUCAAAACCUAAGGGUGGCAAAAAUGAAAUAAAAUUAUUUUGCUUUUGCCAUAGAAUGGCAAUUGUGAUAAUUGUCCAAAACUAAGAGUGGCAAAAGUGAAAUGUCAAAACGUAGAGUGGCAUAAGGAAAAUUAGCAAAAUCUAGAGUGGCAAAAACAAAAUUUUCCCUUCUUCUUAAGUACUAGCACCGGGUUAGCCAACCAUUCAAGAUGAAAACUUCAACUAUGAAACCUACUGCCAAGAGCCGGGCUACUUCUUCACUGAUUGCCUUGCGCCUUUCCUCAUUGAACCGACGAAGAAACUGUUUGACCGGUUUAAACUUGGGAUCCACAUUAAGAGUGUGCUCAGCGAGUUCCCUCGGUACACCUAGCAUAUCAGAAGGAUUCCAUGCAAAGAUGUCCCAGUUCUCACGGAUGAUCUCGAUGAGCACGCUUUCCUUUCGGAUCCAUAUUCGCACUGAUGCUGAAUUACUUUGAAGAAUCGCCAGGGACAAAAUCAACCAUCUUAGUAUCAUCUGCCGACUUAAACUUCAUUAAGGGCUCAUUCUCUGUCGUUGGCUUCUUCAAAGGUGUCAUAUCCGCCGAGUUGACAUUGUCUUUAUAAAACUUCAACUCUUCAGUGGCGCAAGCCGACUCAACGUAAGAGCGUCACCCUCUUCACAAUCCAAAGCGACUUUUCUAUUACCAUGCACCAUGAUGGUGCCCUUGUGACCCGACAUCUUAAGCUGCAAAUAAACAUAACACGGCCGUGCCAUAAAUUUGGCGUAAGCCGGCUGCCCAAACAAAGCAUGAUAUGGGCUCUUAAUUUUCACCACCUUAAAAGUUAACUUCUCAGUUCUGGAAUCGUUGUCAUCUCCAAAAUCCACUCCCAGUGUUAUCCUACCCACAGGGUACGCCGACUUACUAGGUACCACCCCAUGAAAGACAGUAGAGGACGACCUAAGAUCCUUGUUAGUCAAAUUCAUACGACAAAAGGUCUCAUAAUAAAGGAUGUUGAUACUGUUGCCUCCAUCCAUGAGCACCUUUGUAAGUUUAUAUCCUCCUACCUGUGGAGCAACCACCAAAGCCAGCUGACCCGGAUUAUCAACCCAGGGCGGGUGAUCUUCUCUGCUCCACGUAAUAGACUGCUCAGACCACCUUAAGUAUCGGGGCACCGCCCGUUCAACAGAGUUCACCGCCCGCUUGUGGAUUUUCUGAUCUCUCUCGCACAGACUCGUAGUGAACACAUGAUAUUGACCACCGUUCAGCUGCUUCGGAUUACUAUGAUAAGUAGACUGUUGUUGCUGAUUUCCUUGGUUAGACUGUUGAUUAAAACCACCUUGAUUGCCUUGACCCUGUAAGCUGGAGCUUGAACCGCCACCACCGAAGCCAGGUCCGUGAGAACCGGCUCCCUAAGCCGCCAUGUGGACCAUGAUUGAAAAAAAUGGCAUUCCUAAACUCCUUCAUGAUGUAACAAUCCCUCCACAUAUGACCAGAUGGCUUGUCACGCGUGUCGUGCUUCGGACAAGGUUGAUUCAACAUUGCUUCAAGGUUUAGUUUUGACCCUUGGGGCAGCUUUCCCUUGCGAUGUUGAUUACUAUUCCGCGCAUUGGUGUUAGCCACAAAAUCAAAACUACCAUCAGCCUUACACUUACUGUUGCCGGCUUGAAUCGCCAAGUUAUGUUACUGCCCUUUUGUAUUGCCGCUCUUCUUUCCCUUCCCCGACUUAUCAUCAUCAGACUCGGGAUCCUUGGUACUGUCAGAGUCGGCGUAUUUGAUGAGAGCCGCCAUGAGCUCCCCCAUAUCAUUGCAGUGACGCUUAAGCCACCCCAACUUCUGCUUAAGUGGGAGGAAACAACAAUUCUUCUCUAACAUUAAGACUGCAGAACCGGCGUUGAUACUAUCUGAUGAAUGCAUGAUUGACGAAAUCCGGCGCACCCAAUGGGUUGUUGACUCUCCUUCUCCCUGAACGCAAGAAUCCAAAUCCAGAAUCAACAUAGGUUGCUUGCAUGUGUCCUUGAAAUUUUGAAUGAAAUGCCUCUUUAACUCUGCCCAUGACCCAAUAGAAUUAGCGGGCAGUGUUUUUAACCACGUGCGAGCUGGCCCAUCCAACAUCAUGGUGAAGUACUUAGCACACGCAGCAUCACCAAAAUCCAGCAUCUCCAUGGCCAUCUCAUAACUUUCAAUCCAAGCCUCUAGGGGCUGAUCCGUCGUAUAAUUGGGCACCUUACGGGGGCCCUUGAAAUCCUUAAGCAAGCGCUCAUUGCGUAGAGCCGGCACUAAACAUGGCACACCCAAGGUUCUAGAGGUUGCUCCUGCCUCCAUGGAUGCUGAAGGAUAAACCAGAGAUUGCUAUUGAGCCGCCAACUGAGCCAUUAGCUGAGCCGCCAGCUCUGCUUCACGCCGUGCUCUGCCCUGGUCUAUCAAAAUCUGAGCAUCAGUGCCGACACACGGCGGGUCAGGCAUGCGAGGCUGGUUGCGGUGCCGCUCGCUGCUUGACACGGCCGGUUCAUCAAUGUGCCUGCUAUAACUCCUGCUUGGACGAGGUGUUGAGUGGAUACGAUCACGACUGUACGAAUAAGCCGCCUGCUGGGCCACAACCGUCUGAAGAAGCUCUCCGUAUUUCCAUUGCUGUUGGCGAUUCAUCCUGGGCUGGGGGAGCCGCCAGCCGGGUUGCUGCAGCUAUCAUGUUAUCCAAGGGGUUAUAAAAAUGCCCCAGAGGUGUGGGACAUGCUGAGGAGGGGUCACGUUCAAACAUGGCUGAACCGGUUCUCCGGCCGCUGGCGCCUUAGUGGUCCGAUUCACCCCGGGCGGGUUACUGGGUCCUGCCCCAAGCAUAUUGAAAAGAUUCCUCGCGUCGUAAGUCGGGGGCAGCCGGCUUACAUGCCUUCUGUUGAAAACAGCGUUUGACGCAUCCAUGUCCAAGCUUAAGCGCAAGCUCUCCGCUCGAAGCCGUUCUGCCUCCCUUUGCAAGGCGGCUCACUCCGUUGCCAUCCGGGUGUUUUUUGCAUUUAACUCCUCCUUGGCUUGUGCUAUCUCGUCACGCAAUUUUGUAACCUUUGCGUUAUGCUGAGCUUGUGUAGGACCUUGAGAAGAGGUGUCUAAAGGGGGGGGGGGAUUAGACACUAAGUGUCAAAGUUGCUGUUUUUAACUUCUUUAAGUUUAAGUGGAGUUUAGGCACAAGUUUAACAUUCACAAUAAAUAACAAGAAAGCAUGCAAAGAGUAUAUGAGCAGCGGAAAGUAAAGCAUGCAACUUGCAAGAAUGUAAAGGGAAGGGUUUUAGAGGAUUCAAACGCAAUUGGAGACACGAAUGUUUUUGGCAUGGUUCCGAUAGGUGGUGCUAUCGUACAUCCACGUUGAUGGAGACUUCAACCCACGAAGGGUAACGGUUGCGCGAGUCCAUGGAGGGCUCCACCCACGAAGGGUCCACGAAGAAGCAACCUUGUCUAUCCCACCAUGGCCGUCGCCCACGAAGGACUUGCCUCACUAGCGGUAGAUCUUCACGAAGUAGGCGAUCUCCUUGCCCUUACAAACUCCUUGGUUCAACUCCACAAUCUUGUCGGAGGCUCCUAAGUGACACCUAGCCAAUCUAGGAGACACCACUCUCCAAGAAGUAACAAAUGGUGCGUUGAUGAUGAACUCCUUGCUCUUGUGCUUCAAAUGAUAGUCUCCCCAACACUCAAUUCUCUCUCAUGAGAUUUGGAUCUGGUGGAAAGAAGAAUUGAGUGGAAAGCAACUUGGGGAAGGCUAGAGAUCAAGAUUCAUAUGGUAGGAAUGGAAUAUCUUGGCAUCAACACAUGGGUAGGUAGUUCUCUCUCAGAAAUGGUAAGUUGGAAGUGUAGGUUUGUUCUGAUGGCUCUCUCCAUGAAUGAAGAGGAGGUGGAGGGGUAUAUAUAGCCUCCACACAAAAUCUAACAGUUACACACAAUUUACCAAACUCGGUGGGACCGAAUCAACAAACUCGGUCGGACCGAUUUAGUAAACCUAGUGACCGUUAGGAUUUUCGGUGGGACCGAAAUGCAACUCGGUAGGACCGAUAUGGUUAGGGUUAGGGCAUAAUGUAAUCUCGGUGAGACCGAUUAAACAAACUCAGUUGGACCGAUUUUGGUAAUUAGCUAACCAGAGAGUUGGUCAGGCAAACUCGGUUGGACCGAUUGCACAAACUCGGUGGGACCAAUUUUGGUAAUGAGUCAACCAGGAAGUUUGCAUUGUAAUCUCGGUAGUACCGAUUGCUCAAACUCGGUGAGACCGAUUUUGGUAAUGGACAUACACAGAGAGAUUACAAUCCCAUCUCGGUGAGACCGAGAUCCCUAUCGGUGAGACCGAUUUGCCUAGGGUUUGUGGCAGUGGCUAUGACAUCCAAACUCGAUGGCGCCGGAUAGAAAGAAUCAGUGGGGCCGAGUUUGACUUUAGGUUUAGGACAUAUGUGUGGAAGUGGGAAAGUAGUUGAGGGUUUUGGAGCAUAUCACUAAGCACUGUGGAGCAAGAAACUCAUUAAGCAACACCUCAUCCCUCCUUGAUAGUAUUGGCUUUUCCUAUAGACUCAAUGUGAUCUUGGAUCACUAAAAUGUAGAAUGAAGGGUCUUGAGCUUGAAGCUUGAGCCAAUCCUUUGUCCUUAGCAUCUUGAAGGAGUUCCCACAUCCUUUAGUCCAUGCCACUCCAAUGUUGAACUUAUCUGAAACAUACUAGAUAAAAGUGUUAGUCCAACAAGAGAUAUGUUGACAUUAAUUACCAAAACCACCUAGGGAGCACUUGUGCUUGCAAUCUCCCCCUUUUUGGUAAUUGAUGACAACAUACAUCAAAGCUUUAGAUAAAGAUAUAAAGAAUAGCAAGUAAAGCUUUGGAAAGACAUGUAACAAGCAUAGGCUCCCCCUACAUGUAUGCAAUCAUGUGAAUAUGGAAUAUAGAAGCAUGUGAGAGCAUAACCAUGAUAGAGUUGGCAAUGUGUUACAUGUAUCUUGGCCAUAUGCAUCAGAGCAAAGAAUAUUAAAGAAAAUACCUUCAUGCUCAUUAGUCCUUCUUGCAAACAGUAUGUACAUCCGCAAGAAUUCCUCAUACACAUGAUUGUGAUGCGUAUACUUACCUUGUAGUCUUGAGUUGGCUUAGGAUGGAAUGAACCUGUGCAAAUAAGGUUAGAUAACACAGGUACAUCUACUAGCCAGAGCAAACAGAAGAAACCACAAGAAUACGAAGACUGGGAUGACAUGUAGAGAGUGAGUACUAAGUACUACAUUGGAUUAGACAUGUCCCCAAGAGUAAAGAUAUGCAAUGAAUUUAAAUGAUUUCUUUCCCUUAGUAGUCUUGCUCCCCCUGAAUCUAGCAUAGGAUACUGGGAGAGGAUAGGGAACAGAAAAUCAGAGCUGAACGAUAUAAAUGAACAGAGCUAAUGCAAACUAAUGCAAAUAAGCACAAAAGAUCAUAUGAACAUGUCUCUCCCCACAAGAAGACAUGUGGCAUCUCUCCUCUUGAACACCAAGCAUCUGGGAUCCUUGAGAAAUACUUUCUACUUAAGUAUUCUCUCCCCUGGAGAUCUCUCCCUCCCCCUGAGGAUCUCUCUCCCCCUGAGGAGGUGAUAUACUCUUUCUCUGAUGUGAUCUUUCUCUAAAUGAUAAGCUUUGAUGUGAUCUCUCUCUCCCCCUUUGACAUCAAUUUCCAAGAAGGGUUUUCUGGAAUCUGUCAAAUGGGUUUGGUCCUUGAGUCACAGCACAAAGCAAUGAUAAAAAUGUGAUGCUUGUAGAGGACAAGAUUCAUUGAGUGGAGCUGGAUCAGAAGAAACACAGAAUAAGUGGCAAACUGUUUUUCCUGUUGUGCAAUCGGUGGCACCGAGUGGUAUGCUUCGGUUGUACCGAAAGGAUUCGGUUGGACCGAAAACAACAAAUCGGUGGAACCGAGUUCAUCGCAGAGAAAACACUUGUCACCGCAACUCACUAGACUAGUAAGAUCUCACAAAGAUUUGCAAGGAAUUUACUGAAUGAUAUGCAAUGAAUUGGAUUGCAGAAAAUGCAGAGCAAACAGAAAGAAAUCUAAAUGAAGUUUUUUUUGAAAGGGGAAACAAAUAUGCAUGAGACAAAUGCAAAAACAUAGAAAAGAACACAAGAGAACUUCAUCUAGAGAUGGUCAGCGACAAAGUCACCUAUGUUAGAGUAUAUUGACUUAGGAGUCAAGUGAGAUCACUUGAUCAUAGGUCAUACUCAUCGUUUAAGCUCAAAAUGGGGUUGCCAUUUUUUCGUUUAAGCAUCUUGAUGUAUUCACAUCUUGUCGAGUUGCUUUAACUCAUGACUUGGAGUAAAGCUUCUCUAAGAUGGAAUAACAUACCUUGGUUGGUGUUGUUGUCCAUGUAGUUGAACUUGUGUGGGUUGCUCAAGGUUGAUGUAGCUCAUCAAGAGUUGGGAGCACCACUUGGAAUUUGAGUCCAUCUACCUACAUAGGUUAGUUCUUGCAAGGAAGAGCACUUGUGUAUCCAAAAAUGAUAAUCAUGAAGCUCAACAUAGAAUUUGUCAUAGAAUUUGUCAAAGGAUAUGUUUGAAUGAUUCCGUGCUUCCUUGUCUUCAACCACCAUAGUGUAGAGACUUGGUGAUGUAGAGAUUGCUCAAGAUGUGAGUAGAUUACAAUCUCAUGGAAUUUGAUUCCACCAAGUACCUACAUGGGUUAGAUAACAUGCAAGAUGCAAAUAUAUCCUAGACUUAAGAUUUUCAUUCUAAGAGAAAUAUCAAGGAUUAGUCAUAAGCUCAUGUCUUGCAUGUAUCCAAUGGAUUUUCUACUCCAAGUUUGAAGCAUCAAUGAUGUUCAAUUCUCCUCUCAACCUGCAAAACACUUUCUCAUCAAGAGGUUUAGUGAAUAUAUCCGCUAAUUGCUUUUCGGUGCAGACAUGCUUAAGAUCAAUGUCACCCUUAGCAACAUGAUCUCGAAUGAAAUGAUGACGAACUUCAAUAUGCUUAGUUCGAGAAUGUUGUACAGGAUUAUGACCAAUUUUGAUAGCACUUUCAUUGUCACAAAGCAAUGGAACAUGUUUCACAUAUAUCCCAUAAUCUUUGAGAGUUUGGGUCAUCCAAAGUAAUUGAGCACAACAUGAACCAGCGGCAAUGUAUUCCGCUUCGGCGGUGGAUAAGGAUACCGAGUUUUGUUUCUUGGAGGACCAAGACACAAGAGAUCUACCAAGAAAUUGACAAGUACCCGAAGUGGACUUUCUAUCAACCUUGUCUCCAGCAUAGUCCGAGUCGGAGUAGCCAACAAGAUUGAAAGAGGCACUCUUAGGAUACCAAAUGCCAAAAUUUGGUGUAUGGAUUAAGUAUCUCACUAUCCUUUCCACGGCCUUAAGAUGACAUUCUUUAGGAGCAGCUUGAUAUCAUGCACACAUGCACACACUUAGCAUGAUAUCAGGACGUGAAGCACAUAAAUAUAACAAUGAACCAAUCAUAGAGCGAUAAACCUUUUGAUCAACCGGUUCACCAUCUUUGGUCAAGUCAAGAUGUCCACUAGUAGGCAUGGGUGUAGUCAUACCUUUGCAUUCUUGCAUAUUGAACUUCUUGAAUAAGUCCUUGGUGUACUUCGUUUGAGAAACAAAGGUACCUUCCUUAGUUUGCUUGAUUUGCAAACCAAGAAAGAAUUUGAGUUCACUCAUCAUAGACAUCUCAAACUUCUCUGACAUUAGCUUCCCAAACUUUUCACUAAAAUGAGGGUUAGUUGAACCAAAUAUAAUAUCAUCAACAUAGAUUUGGCACAUGAAUAUAUCUCCAUUAACCCGUUUAGUAAAAAGAGUAGAAUCAAUUUUCCCAAUUUCAAAGCCUUUUUCAAUAAGGAACUUGGUCAAGAAUUUAUACCAUGCUCUAGGAGCUUGUUUAAGACCAUAAAGGGCUUUGUGAAGUUUGUAAACAUGACUGGGUUUCUUAGGAUUAACAAAGCCGGGAGGUUGUUUAACAUAAACUUCCUCCUCUAUUUCACCAUUUAGAAAAGCACUUUUAAUGUCCAUUUGGUACAAGGUGAUAUCAUGAUGAUUAGCAUAGGCAAGUAAGAUGCGAAUGGACUCAAGUCUAGCAACGGGAGCGUAAGUCUCACCAUAGUCCAUACCUUCGACUUGUGUGUAGCCUUGGGCGACGAUACGUGCUUUGUUGCGAACUACUUGUCCAUCUUCAUCUUGCUUGUUGCGAAACACCCAUUUGGUACCGAUGAUGUUGUGGUUGUUGUCGGGCUUCUCAACCAAUGUCCAAACUUGGUUCCUCUCAAAGUUGUGUAGCUCUUCAUGCAUAGCAUUUAUCCAAUCCGGAUCUUCCAAUGCUUCUUCAACCUUCAUAGGUUCAAUGCUAGAGAUGAAAGUAUAAUUUUCACAAAAGUUAGCUAAACGAGUUUUAGAGCGAGUGAUUCUCCCGGUUUGAAUAUCAUUGUAGAUUUUCUCGACGGGAUGGUCUUUAGCAAUUCUUGCUCAAACUCUUGAAAGCUUUUGCUUGGUUCUUGGUUGAACUUCUUCUUCAUCUUGUUCUUCUUCUUGGCCUUCUUCAUUGUUGGCGUUGUCGUUCUCUUGUCGUGGUGGAGAAGGAGGUUGUUGACGUUCAUCUUGAUGCACUUCCUCGUUUUCUUCAUCUUGGCGUGUCCCACUUGUGGAUGCUUCCGUAUCAACUCUUGGUUCACCUUGUCAUGAAGUAGAAGCUUCCACUUGGAUGGACGAGGUACUCUCCUUCACCUCCGUUGGACAAACCUUGCCAAUAGACAAGUCUUGGAUUGCUUCCGAAGGAUCUUUGUCUCCUACAUCAAUUGGCAAUUGCUUUACUUGUGAGCCAUUAGAUUCAUCAAACUUCACAUCUACCGUCUCUUCAACCUUUCGGGUGAAAUUGUUGUAGACACGGUAAGUGUGAGAGUUUGAGCCAUAACCUAGUAGGAAACCUUCAUGAGACUUAGGAGCAAAUUUAGAACGACGAUGCUUAUCAAGAAUGUAGCACUUUGAGCUGAAUACUCGGAAGUAUACAACUUGGGGUUUGUUACCGGUGAGGAGCUCGUAUGCCGUCUUGCCGAGUAGCUUGUGAAGAUACAAGCGAUUUGUUGCAUGACAAGCUGUCUCAACCGCUUCUGCCCAAAAGUGCUUCGGCGUCUUGUACUCAUCAAGCAUCGUUCUCGCCAUUUGAUGAGCGUCCAAUUCUUCCUCUCAACAACUCCAUUUUGUUGAGGUGUGUACGUAGCCGAGAACUCAUGUGAAAUCCCUUCUUCGUCAAGAAAGGUGUCCACAUUUGCGUUCUUGAACUCCGUUCCGUUGUCGCUGUGAACCUUCUUGAUCUUCACUUCAAAUUGAUUUUGGGCCUUCCUAGCGAAGUUUUUGAAGAUCUUUUGGACCUGCGAUUUAUCAUCGAGAAAGAACACCCACGUAAAUCUUGAAAAAUCAUCAACUAUAACUAGACCAAAAGAAUUUCCACCGAUACUCUUGUAAGAGUUGGGACCAAAGAGAUCCAUGUGAAGUAGCUUGAGUGGCCUCCUUGUGGUCAUGAUGUUCUUCACGGGAUGCCUUCCUCCAACCUGUUUACCUGCUUGACAAGCACUGCAAAGUCUAUCCUUAUCAAAUAUGACAUCGUUAACUCCAAGGAUAUGAUUUCCUUUAAUAAGCUUGUCAAGGUUUCGCAUACCAAAAUGACCUAAUCGUCUAUGCCAUAACCAACCUUUUGAGGAUUUAGCGAUGAAGCAAGUUUUAGGUUGAGCCUUUUUAGUGAAAUCAACAAUGUAUAGAUCACCUCUACGCACACCGGUAAAGACCAUUUUAUGAUUAUUUCGAUGAAACACUUGGCAAUCUACUUCAGUAAAUAGGACAUUGAAUCUGAAAUCAGCAAGUCUAGAUACUGAAAGUAAGUUGUAUCCAAGAGAUUCAACGAGCAUGACAUUUUGUAUGGAGCUAUCAUGUGAUAUGGCCACCUUACCGAGGCCAACCACCUUACCCUUUGAUUUUUCACCGAAAGUGACGUACUUUCGAGGACUAUCAUUUUCAGCAAGCUCAGGAAACAUGUCUUUAUCUCCGGUCAUAUGAUCGGUACACCCACUAUCAAGAACCCAUUCCUUUCCUCCUGACAUAUAUCCCCGAAGAUUUGCCAUAAGACCAAAGUGUCUCAUUGCAUCAUCAAGAUCGAAGUCACUAUCAUCAUCCUCAUCAUAAUAUCACUAAUAAUUCCAACAUCUCCUUUGGCACGCAUAAGGUGUGUAAGCUCAAAUAGACGAUCACCAAACAUAGGAUCACUAGUAUUCAUCUUACUCAAAGCAAUAGACUUAUGGAGAAUUUCAUCAAGAUUUUUCAAGCAAUAGUUUGGAAAGCGUUCCUCAAGAAAUUUCCAUAUAGUGUAGGCACACUUAAGAGUAGGCAAACAUCCAAUCAAGUUUCUAGGAAAUCCUCUAAUGAUAAGUUCGGUAGUUCUAAGAUUCCUAAUCAUGUCAAUUGACUCAUCAUGGGUAGGAUGCAUAGGAUCAACAUGAGGUGCACAAGGGCUAGCAAUGUACUUGUUCAAAUGAUAUUGAUUGAAAAUUACAAGCAUCUCAUUUUUCCACUCAUGAAAAUACUCUCCAUCAAGAAUAGGCACUCUAUGUCUAAGACUCCCGAAAGUAGACUCAUCCAUCUUCCUCCAAUGGUGAUUAAACCAAGGCAAUGGAGACCAAAGCUCUGAUACCACUUGUAGGACCUUGAGAAGAUGUGUCUAGAGGGGGGGGGGGGUGAUUAGACACUAAGUAUCAAAGUUGCUGUUUUUAACUUCUUUAAGUUUAAGUGGAGUUUAGGCACAAGUUUAACAUUCACAAUACAUAACAAGCAAGCAUGCAAAGAGUAUAUGAGCAGUGGAAAGUAAAGCAUGCAACUUUCAAGAAUGUAAAGGGAAGGGUUUUGGAGGAUUGAAACGCAAUUGGAGACACGGAUGUUUUUGGCGUGGUUCCGAUAGGUGGUGCUAUCGUACAUCCACGUUGAUGGAGACUUCAACCCACGAAGGGUAAUGGUUGUGCGAGUCCAUGGAGGGCUCCACCCACGAAGGGUCCACGAAGAAGCAACCUUGUCUAUCCCACCAUGGCCGUCGCCCACGAAGGACUUGCCUCACUAGCGGUAGAUCUUCACGAAGUAGGCGAUCUCCUUGCCCUUACAAACUCCUUGGUUCAACUCCAUAAUCUUGUCGGAGGCUCCCAAGUGACACCUAGCCAAUCUAGGAGACACCACUCUCCAAGAAGUAACAAAUGGUGCGUUGAUGAUGAACUCCUUGCUCUUGUGCUUCAAAUGAUAGUCUCCCCAACACUCAACUCUCUCUCAUGGGAUUUGUAUCUGGUGGAAAGAAGAAUUGAGUGGAAAGCAACUUGGGGAAGGCUAGAGAUCAAGAUUCAUAUGGUAGGAAUGGAAUAUCUUGGCCUCAACACAUGGGUAGGUAGUUCUCUCUCAGAAAUGGUAAGUUGGAAGUGUAGGUUUGUUCUAAUGGCCCUCUCCACGAAUGAAGAGGAGGUGGAGGGGUAUAUAUAGCCUCCACACAAAAUCUAACUGUUACACACAAUUUACCAAACUCGGUGGGACCGAAUCAACAAACUCGGUCGGACCGAUUUGGUAAACCUAGUGACCGUUAGGAUUUUCGGUGGGACCGAAAUGCAACUCGGUAGGACCGAUAUGGUUAGGGUUAGGGCAUAACGUAAUCUCGGUGAGACCGAUUACACAAACUCGGUUGGACUGAUUUUGGUAAUUAUCUAACCAGAGAGUUGGUCAGGCAAACUCGGUUGGACCGAUUACACAAACUCGGUGGGACCGAUUUUGGUAAUGAGUCAACCAGGAAGUUUGCAUUGUAAUCUCGGUACUACCGAUUUCUCAAACUCGGUGAGACCGAUUUUGGUAAUGGACAUACACAGAGAGAUUACAAUCCCAUCUUGGUGAGACCGAGAUCCCUAUCGGUGAGACUGAUUUGCCUAGGGUUUGUGGCAGUGGCUAUGACAUCCAAACUCGGUGGCGCCGGAUAGAAAGAAUCAGUAGGGCCGAGUUUGACUUUAGGUUUAGGACAUAUGUGUGGAAGUGGGAAAGUAGUUGAGGGUUUUGGAGCAUAUCACUAAGCACUGUGGAGCAAGAAACUCAUUAAGCAACACCUCAUCCCUUCUUGAUAGUAUUGGCUUUUCCUAUAGACUCAAUGUGAUCUUGGAUCACUAAAAUGUAAAAUGAAGAGUCUUGAGCUUGAAUCUUGAGCCAAUCCUUUGUCCUUAGCAUCUUGAAGGAGUUCCCACAUCCUUUAGUCCAUGCCACUCCAAUGUUGAACUUAUCUGAAACAUACUAGAUAAAAGUGUUAGUCCAACAAGAGAUAUGUUGACAUUAAUUACCAAAACCACCUAGGGAGCACUUGUGCUUUCAGCUUGAUUCGUCGGGUUAACCUCCGACGUUAACAACAUUGUCAGAGCGUCCAAUAGAUUAGACAAAACUUGAGCCGACGGGCGCACAGGUCCGGCCCCGGAAGUCGUCGCUACUGCUGACCCGGAGAUCACUGCCACUACAGUCGUAGAACCUUGCGCUGGCUGUGUACCGACCAUGAAGACUGUGACCUGGUGUGGCGCCUCGUAGGGGUCCGGAAUACUAUCGCCAUCGGAACAGCCCCCAAGCCCGCCAUCCUGAACCUGGUAGAUAGAGUUGGUCUCACCAGCAGAAGACUUGUCGCCUGAGUAAAUGACCGUCUCACCACCAGAUUCAGAUCCUCCUUCUAGUUCUGCUCCAUGAACGAAAUCAACAAAAACAUGCUUCGGGGCGGCUUUAGCCUUGGCAGGUCGCGCACGCCGAGCCGACUCAAUGAUGUUAGUGUAGAUGUCCAGCUUAGCUUCCGACUCACCGAUCUUGUUGAUGAAGAUGUGAAUUCCGCCGAAAGGGACCCAGUACCCGUACUCGACCGAGUCGGCCUCGGGGCCCCAGCCCUCGUCAUCGAUGUAGAGCUUGCCGCGAUGACUUUUGGUUAUCCGGCCCACGGCGUACCCCUUGAGCCCUGCGAAGCUGCCCUUCAAGAACUCGAAACCACCGUGCGCUGGCCCCUUGGUGGGCGCCAACUGUUGUGGAAUUAUCACGUCAGAUGUCCUAGCGUAAGGACUUACGUGUGGAGCCAUCGCAAUGUAGUUAGCUUGAAGGGGUUAAACGGGACAAGGAACACACAGAGUUUAUACUGGUUCGGCCCCUCGCGGUGGAGGUAACAGCCUAAUCCAGUGUAGGGUGGUUAUUGCUUGGGCUUCGAUUACCAGGGAGCGAAUACGCUUAACCUAGUUCUCGAUCUCUUUCUUUCCUGCCCUAACUCGCCGCCGGGUUGUCCCUUUAUAUACACAGGUUAACGCCUAGCGGCUUACAGAGUCCCGAUCGACUCAUAGACAACGUGUCCGGCUCGGUGACUAACUAAGCCUGCCUUACAAUACAAGUUUAUCCUUAUGGCAGUUCAUCCUUCUGGGCCCUAAGUCACCUUUAGUAAGCCUACUUUGUGAACCGCCAUCUUCAACAUCUUCAUGGGCCUUGUCAUUAUGAACCGCUAGUGGUAUAACCCGGCCCCUCCUGGGCGGGUCAUACCCAUAGUUAUAUCCCCAACAGCCGAAGAAAAGAACUCCUGCACUGCCGCAAUAAUUUCAAAUUUUAGCAAAGCCCAAUUCCAUUGAUAAAAUCUUGCUGGAAAAACAUCACAGCCCGGGGCCUUCAAUGGUCCAAUCUAGAAAAGGGCAUUUGAAAUCUCCUCCUCAGUGUAAGGUUUACAUAAUGAUUCAUUCAUCUCCAAAGUGACCUUGGGAAUGAUACAUUAAAGGACCUCAUCCGGGGAAAGGGUUUGAUCCUUUGUAAAAAUCUCUUUGAAAUAGGAUUGAGCCACCCUUUCCAUCUCUAUAGGAGUAUUGCACCAUGUGCCAUCAUUUUUCUGUAAAUGCUAUAUAUAGUUCCUCCUCGCACGCCAAACAGCCCUCCUAUGUAGGUAUUUAGUAUUGCAUUCACCCUCUUUUAACCAUGUAAUCCGGGAGCGCUGUAGCCACAACAUCUCCUCCCUAUAUAGAAGAUCAUCGAGCUGGUUCAUCUUGGAUCAAAUUACAGCACGAUCUGAACCCGACAGUUGAAGUUCUGUCAGUUGCGACCGUAGCUACUCAAUCUCCUUCAAAACAUUACCAAAAUUUGUUGCACUCCACUGUCUUAGCUCCCUCAUCAAUUCCUUUAAGGAAGAGGCCACCGAACCCAAGCUGCCCGCUGGCUUAUGCUUAUUCCAGCCCCCGGUAAUCACGUCGGGGAGGGUAGGGUCCCAUUCCCACAUUAUCUCAUAGCAUGGGCAGGAGGCCCGACGCCUCUGAUCUUGCACGCCCUCCAUGUUAAUCAGGAGGGGUCAGUGGUCCGAACAUGAGGUUGCCAGGUGACCAACCUUCACCAAUGGAAACACGUCCCGCCAUGCUUCAUCCGCACACGCUCGGUCCAAGCGGACCUGUACGGGCCUGGACGUUACAUCUCUGCAUGUCCGUAAUUCCGAUUUUAACAUGUUAUCUAAGAAAUUUGAUUAGAAAAUUUGUAGAAUUUGAAUAAGUUAUUAUUUUAGCUCUUAAAGAAAACAUCAAUAAUUACACAUGCACACCUCUAAAAAACCUCACGGGAGAAAAAAAAUAGAUUUCUCAUCUUAUUUCGAGCAAGUGCACACGAGGGAGAGGGAGAUGUGUGUGUGUGUGGGGGGGGGACGCCUUGGGGUUGACAACAUUCAAACACGUUAUGAUCGCGUGAGCACUGGAGGCCACCGCUAGCGAGGUUACGCAUGCACACAAAGGCACAACAUAAUCAUAGGCAACUAACAAGCACAACAUAAAUGAGAGGCUUAGAUAGUACUCACAUGUAAUUAAACUAACAGGCACUUGCGACAAAGUCUUACACUAACUGUCCAACACACGUCUGAAACGAAGAGAAGGCCAUCCUCCAUCAUUGAGUACCCCUCCAUUGUGCUUACUCUAGGAAACCACAAGAAGGUAAAAAAGGAUCAAUUACAUCUGACUGAACACCUGUUGGGCGUGGUGUCGGCCAUGCAAACGUCGGCAUGGCCGGAGGGUACAUGAUUGUGGAAAGAUUCUAGGUGGAUGGUGGCAUAGUCCAAGGCGGGCGGGCAUGUGGGUGGGGGCUUCAGACGCCUGACAAAUGCUUGGGUGACAGUCAAAGAGGUGGAAUGGUGGCGGCUUACGAUGAGGGUGCGGAUGCAGAGCAAGGGGGUGGAGUGGAAGAAAAGUGGCCUGGUGGGGGAUUUGAGUGUCGGAUGUCAGAAUCCUACACGGUGGUGGUCUGGAAACCCGCAAAGCUCUGGAGCCUCGAAAGGACUCCAGACCAACCCUCUCGAUGAAGAACAGGAGCUGGCGACGGCUCUGUAUCAUAAACAUGAUAAAACGUUUUCUCUUAAUUUUUCUCAGUAAAAUGGAAUUUCUAGCGCUGGAAUUAGGUCAGACGGACGCCUGUGGUCCCCACAAGGUAACAGGGCGUGCCUUGGGGGGUGGGUGCGCCUUGUUGCCUUGUGAGCAACAGGUGGCCCCCUACAGUGGAGUUGCUCCAGUAUUUUUUAUAUUCCAUAAAAAAUAUUCAAAAAGUCCCGUCCGAUUUCGAGAACUUUUAUUUCUGCCCAAAGAACAACACCAUAGUAGUUCAGCUGAAAACAACGUCAGUCUGGGUUAGUUUCAUUCAAAUCAUGCAAACUAGAGUCCAAAACAAAGAGCAAACGUGUUUGGAAAAGUAGAUAUUUAUAUUAUAUCUUGCCUUGGUAGAGCAAAACUUUGAACCCAACACAAGCAACUCUCCCGGUUUAGCAAUAUUGAUGGGUUCCAGCCUCAUUCCACUAGCCCUAAAAGCAUUCUAAAUAUAUAAAAGAGGGGAAAUGGAUUCUACAAGAAAAGGCGGGCAAAGGUAGUUCAGGGGUCAAUUCUUGGACCAUAGCUCAUUUCUAAGUCCCCAACCCAUCUCGUGCUCGUGCUCGUGCUGUACGCGAUUGAAUCUUGCAGUCGGAUAGAGCAAUGGAAUCACCGAGUCGUAUGAAAAGAUGGCCCUUCUUUUACGACGGAGACAUAUCAAUCAUCGUCUGGCCAGACACAACGUGAAUUGUUCAUGGGGACGCCGAAACAUGAAGACGAGAAGAGAGAACAAAACUAAUAACGAGGAGACUGGCACAGUGACAAUGAGUUUAACUCACGGGGAUGCCCAUAUAUAUAUAUAUAUAUAUAUAUAUAUAUAUAUAUAUAUAUAUGGUUUUGUAAAGUAUUGCAAAAUAAAAGGAAUAUCAUAUGAUAACCAAAGGUCCAAUCGAAUAUCAUUCGUAUGAGUAUAGGGGUUAGUAUGGAUGUCCAUGGCUCCGCUAUGGAUCAUUGAAUGAAAGGUGUUUUUGUUCAUGUCUAUAUUUCACCGAACCUGCAAGUUCACAUGCUUAAGGAUUUUCUUAUCUGUUGAGUUCUAUUGGAGGUAGGAGUUUGAGAAAAUAUCACCGGAUUUUUUUUGGAGAUAAUAGAAAUUGUUUUGAGAGAAAACCGAAAAUGUUUUGAGCAAACCAUAAGCGUUUCAGAGAAAACCAGGAGGUGGAAAAAGUUUUGAGGACCUAAUAAUAAUAUAGGAGGGCUCCGGGAAUCACAAGGAGCACCUCCCCGUGGAUUAUUCUAGGGGGCCAUGGGCUGCCCUAAUAGGCUAAAGCCUAUUAGGAGGGCAACCUCAUGGGCCUAGAGGCCCAUUAAGGGGUGGCGCCCCCUUUAGCCUGCCCAAUAAGCUAAAGGGGGUGAAGGGGAGUUGGAGGAGGACUCCCCCUCCUUGGCCGGCGCACCAAGGGUGGGGUGCUCCAUCCCCAAGUCGGCCACCCCCUCCCCUCCACCUAUAUAUACAUGAGGGAUCGCCCCCUAGAACACACAAACUCCUCUGGUUCCAGGUGCCCCUCUAGUUCUCCAGAUAAUUAAAGAGAUACUGUAAGGCUCUUCUCCCUCCUCUAGUUCUCCAAUAACGCAAAGCUCUGGACGCUGAAGUGCUGCCGGGUCAUCUACUUAGUACGCGUGAAAUCCGUAGAGAGAUCGUGCUUUUUAUCUUUGUUCGAGGGAUCAUUCAUGGGAAGGUUCGAGGGACUUCAAAAAUGAUCUACACCAACUCUUCUUCCACUGCAACUCAAAGUUGGUAAUGAUUCGAUCUAACCUUGUGUGCAUCUUCAUAGUGAUCCUGGUUCUUGAUUCGUAGGGCACUUUUUUUCUACUUUGAGCCUGUGCAGCUUUCUCCAAGCGGUUGGGCUGGGGUCAACCAAUUUUUCUGGCUGGGGUAAGAGACAAACUUGUUAAGCAUGUUAACUAACACCAGUGAUUGUAGGUGAGCUCUAUCCCUGCUCACGAGGCAUAAUGAUUACUCCCUCCUUUCCGGUUAUAGGGCUUAUCUCAAAAUUUUAGUUUUUCCAUUUUAUAAGGCUCAAUUUCACUACAAAAAAAUACACUUCCGUGAUGAUACGUGUUUGUCACAGUAGGUCGCGUUUUUUGUCAUGCAUGUACAUCCAUGACGAUUUUAUGACAGAAUCAAGAUAGUCAUACUUGUGCUGUCGUAGAAGUGUUCCAUGACAUUACCGGAAUUAUCAUCACGGAAGUGUCCACUUCCAUGACGAUAAAUCGUGCGUCACAGAAGUGCUUUCGUCAAGGGUGACCGACACGUGGCAUCCACUGUAACGGAACACCGUUAAGCUAUCGAGUCGGGUUUUGGAUCCGAUAACCCGUUAACAGCCCCGACCAAUGGGGAUUUUCCACGUGUAAAUCAUCAUUGGCUGGAGGAAACACGUGUCGGCUCAUCGUUGGGACAGAUGUCAUCCACUCAUUGGACAGAAGGCGCCUAUGAUACGUCGACACGUGGCAUGACCCAUCAAGUUUAAAUGGGCCGGCCCAACUAAAGGCCCACAAGAUUUUGCGGACCAUAAUGGGCCGGCCCAGCUAAAGGCCCACGAGAUUUUCCGGACCAUAAUAGGCCGGCCCAGGUAAAGGUCCACAAGAUUUUUGUGUGCCAUAAUGGGCCGGCCCAGGUAAAGGCCCACAAAAUUCUCGCGGAUCAUAAUGGGCCGGCCUAGCUAAAGGCCCAUGAGAUUUUGCCGACAUUAAUGGGCCGGCCCAGCUGUAGGCCCACAAGAUUUUGAGGACCCUAGUAGGCCGGCCCAUUAACUGGCUGCCAUGUUUUGGGCCAAAUGCCGGCCCAUAUUUGAUCCGGCCCAUUAAUGGCCUGCCAUGUUUCGGGCCUAAUAAUGGCCCAUAUAAGAUCCGGCCCGUUAAAAGCUUCCCACUUUCUGGGCCAAAUCAUGGCCCAAAUCAGGUCCGACCCUUUAAGAGGCUUUGGGCUCAAUUAUGGCCCAUAUCAGAUUCGGCCCGUUAACUGGAUGCUAUGCUUUUGGGCCCACUUGCUAAAGGCCCAUUUAGUAAUUCGGCCUGAUAUUAGUUUUGGCCUGUUAAGGGCCCAUUUAACAUUUCGGCCCUAUAUUAAUUUCGGCCUGUUAAAAGCCCGUCAUAUAGUUGGGCCUAACUACGGCCCGGUUUGCAUCCGACCUGCUCGCAGCCGAUAUCUGAUUGGGCCAAACAAGGACCGAGACAACUUUGGCCUGUUAAAAGCCCAUGAAUUGAUUCGCACAAUCAUGGGUCGGGGUCCAUUUCGGGCUGCUACCGGCCCAUGAGCUAUUCAGCACGUUUCAGGCCCAACCUACUUCUCAGCCUCCUAAAAGCCCAUUCAGUUUUCUUGCGAAAAGAGGGCUGGGGGUUACUCGGCCUAUUAAAGGCCCGAAUCUACUAGUGGGCCAGUUUGACGGGGCCCAUGAUGCGGAUCAUACAUCGUGAUUGCAUGAUGGCCUAAUUAUGUACCAUAAUUUUACAGUUUGGCCGGUUUGCUGCGAAGACAGGAUAUAUAUACAGUAAAAUAACUGCAGCAUCCUGAAUAAUAAAAAACCUAGACUAUACAAUAGAGAAAUUACGGCAUAUUACAUCCACUGGGCAUCAAAGUUUGCCACUAUGAUAAUAAAGCACAAGCAGACAGCAGAUUACAUACGUUGGGCAUCAAAGAUCGCCACCAGUGCAAAUAAACACGUUGACAAAAUAAUAUACAAAACCGACAUCACUUCAAUAGAGUUCAAGAAAGGUUAGCCCUGCUGGGAGCUGCAGCGCAAGCAGCUGAGCAAGAUGAUGAGACUGCGCUUGUUCAACACUUAUAUCUUCCUCACUCUAAAAGAUAAACAAGCAGACAGAUGACAGGUUUUGCACAUAAAAGUACCUGUGCUGACAAUUCAUCACAUUUCUUACUAACGAAUAAAGUGACAUAGUUUAAAAUUGCAUUAACACAAUAUGGUAUUGUUCAAGUCAAGACAUGGCAGGAAAUGACAUUGUGAAGGAGUUGGCAGCUUCACGACACCACCGGAUUACAGAUAAAGAACUCAUAAGUAUCAAUGGUUAGUGUGCUGUCAAUUUAUCCCAUUUUAGAUUGGCAAAUAAAGAGACGGUUUAAAUAAUAGUAGAAUGAUAUGACAUUGUUCAUAGUUAAGACAUUGCAGAAUAUGACAUUGUGCUGUAGUGGGCAGGUUCACCACACCACUGGAUUACGGAUGAAGAACAGAAGCAUACAUGCAGUGCAAAAGAAGAUCACUUGCUCUGUAUAGUUUAAUUUACAUGGUAUGAAGAAGGAACUUGGUUGUACAACUGAAAACUUAAAUUGAGAAGGACAAACUUUUGUUUGUGAACUACAUAAUAAACUUUAAACAUGCAAUUUGCUGCAAACACCAAAAAUAAACAGCUGUUGCAGUCAUGCCUAACCAAAUAUACACAACAAAGUUUGAAGGCUUGAGAAGGACAAACUUACAUUACUGGUGAAGACAAGCUCUAUAAAGCCCUUGUCCAUGCUGAUGGGGGGGGGGGCAAUUCAAGAAGUUUAGCACAUAAUCUUCUUCAUAAGCAUUGCCUUUAUUCUACAUUUUGUUAAGAGUAAAUAUAGAUGUGAUAAUAUACGAAAAAUGGAGAAUAUUUAAGAUAAGAUGAAGAGUGAUGCUACAUAACCAAGUAGCUAUAAAUGUAUGUGCAGCGAUACAGGCAAAAGGCACAACCAAGAGCAAUGCACAACUAAACUUCUUCAAUACCAACCUUAUGGUAAGAGUAAAUAUAGAUCUGAUGUGUAGAAAAUGGAGGGCAAAGGAAAAUAAGCUGCAGAGUGAUGGUACAUGAACAACUACCUGUCAAUAUAAGUACACUGAUAAAGGACAACAUGUACUUACAAGAACAAUGCAGAGCUAAAAAAAUUCAUUGGCAUUGGAUAUAUUCUACACUAAUGUAACCAUUCAUACAGAUCAGAUAAUUUGGAGCGAACAAUUGAUAAGCAAGCUAUCAUGCAUACUGCUGUCACAUAAUGAACCAGGUAUGUAUGCAAGUACAGUGAUACAGGACAACAGGUACUAACAAGAGCAAAGUAGCGGGCAACAUAUUUGCGAUAUCCUGUCGUUCUUUUCAAACCGGAAUUCUUCUUCGAGCAGAUUUUCUACAAAAAAGAUCCAUAAGGCACAUGCGGAAAAGUAGAAGUUCAAAUUGUCAUGUGAUUUCAUAGACAGUACCUCAUCCUGGGAACGAGACCAGUGCAUAACAAGGUUUUUCCAUUCAAUGUCUUCUAAAUUUAGCACAAGAGACUUCACCGGAAAUUCGUUUAUAGACUUGCCAUCAAAGUGUGAUUUCCUCAGGUAACACCAAUACUGCUGCAAUGCUUCCUUGAAAAGCACAAGCAAGCUUUGCUCGUCAUGACUAUCGAGAUUGACCCUCGCCUAGUUACAACAAUGUAAUGUAAAUCAUUGAUGUGUUCGAUCAGCAGAAAAUAGGAAAAUAAUAACCAUGAAUAAUAGCACUUACACGUAAGUUGGACAGGAAGAUGUGAAAAUGGUGUUUGUCUUCACUAUAAUAUUCCCAUGAUGGGAAUAUAUGCACGUAGUCCCUAACAACAUUGAAAGCAUUGUAUUUUAAACUGGGAAUAAAUAGAAUGGUGUUCCAAUCUGUAGGAAUUGGCCGUCUCUGCAGUUGGGAUAGGUCUUCGGCCAGUGGACUUGCUGUACUUUUUGCGGGAGUGGGAUUUUUCUGUGGUACGGCUGGUGCUAUGGCAAAUGAAAUCGGUAUACCUUUUGCUGGAGUGCAGGUCCUGUGUGGUGGGGCUAGUGGUGUGGCCAGUGAAGUAUGGGUACAGUCUGUUGGAGUCGGUCCUAUGUUUUGUGUCACUGGUUGUACAACCAAUAUAAGUGGGGCGCUGUCUGAUUUCUCCGGCACCCCCACGUUUUUCAAGGACUUUGCUGGUGCUGCUUUAGGUUCGGCAAUCACCCUCUUCCUUUUUGAUGUCUGAUGCACAAGAACAACAUUUGAUUGGAAAAUCAUGGUAUGAUGACAGAUGGAAUAUGUAUUGAUAAUGGAUGGGCAUGGCAUCUCGAGUUAUAUGAUGAGUAAACUAAGCAGAUGGCGGUGCAACAAAGUAGAAGAAAUGCAAGACGACAUAUGCAAGAUACACGCAAUCAAUAAAACCUUGCCAAAUUAGAACAGGCACCUUGAUGGGUGAACAGGACAGGCCAUCUGCCUUUGACUCCUCAAGGUUAGAAUAGUCAUUAGGAUGAUAUUCUGAACAAGAAUCAACAGGUGGGGAGCGUACGAGUUUCAUUGCUUCCAGAAUGGCACUCAAUGCCUUGGUGCCAAAUUUGUAAGUCAUUGCAGUGUUCCACAAUAUUCUUCUUCUGAUGCGCGGAUUCUGAUAUUCACUGUAAUUGCGUAUAAUAUCUGAGAACCAUGAAAACAUAAAUAGUUGUGAGAUUAUCUUUGUAAUGCAGAUGAUAUUCUAAUAUAGAGGCGCCCCUGUAAACACUUAUGUGCUAUUACUGGAUUCUGAUGAGAGAGCUCAUGUGUGCUGUAAUAUGGUGCGUGCAUUUAUAUAAUCUGGCACAAGUACACAAAAAAUAGGCGCCAGAAGUAAGGAUAGCUGGCAGAUGAUAGGUUCAUAAUAUACUGUAUAGAGAGUUUAUUGCCAAACCAUGAUAACAAGAGCACACAUCAACUAGGCAGAUCAUAGUGUACAUAACAGGGGUACACCAUAACCACGAUAUAUAAAUCGGGAAAGUGGAACUGGCUUGAAAAUACGGUGUUGUAUUGCCGCUAGUAAUUGAAAGCCUAUCGAUCACGUACAGGCCAGCUCCAUCGAACAUGGUAAAGAAGAGCAAGCAGAUUUUGGAUAAUAAAAUGUUGGUUGCGCAGUGCCCACACAUGAUGAACCAGAGCGCAUUAAGAAUGCAACUCCCAGCUGUCUCUCGACCAUUUCAGGCAGUUGGAUGAAGAUCCUACGUCUCCUAACCUUUCUUCUUCCUCGUCUCUGAUUCUUCCCAUACAGAACACCGCACGGGCCGCCGGUCGGACCACCAGCCCCCACCGCCUGUGUUCCUCCGCCACCGCCACCCCCACCCGCGCCCCAACCCCCACCCGCGUCGAGUUUUUCUUCGUUCGGCGAGGCCCCACAACCACCUGAGCCCCUUGGAUCGCACCGUGAACUCCGGCGAGCUCUGAAAAAUCGACUGAACCAAUUUUGAAAUUUAGUCUAUCGUGAUUUAACUAGUGUGGAAUAUAAAAGGGGAAAACCAUAAGCAUUGGGAGUAUAGUGUUGAGCGUGCCAUGGCGGAUCUGAAGGUGCAAACCGGACAAAGGAAACUUCGCAACCAAGACAAGAAAUCAGAGUAAAGCAGUGGCAAUCUAUUUUCUUGCUGCGAUAAAUAAGUUGAGCGGAUACGAAAGAGUACCACCUCUGGUGCGGCACCGUGUACGCAUCUGCUGAGAAUUUGACGGUGCUGUGGUAGCGAUGGCUGUCGGCGGCGUGGAAGCAGAUCUAGGAGGGUAGACGAUGGCGGCGGGGCGCGGUGGACGAGACGGUCGUAGGAGCGGCGCCGGCAAGGUGGACGACGGCGGGGAUGAAGCAAGGGGACGGGAUGCAAGGAUCCCGGUCCAAAGGCAUGGAUGAGAGAGGUCGAUCUCUUGUAAUGGACGGCAGCGUCGGGGUAUCAGCUCCGGCAUGGUGGAGGAGGACGGCGGUGGAUGGGGUGGCGGACGGUGGCGGAUGGAGGAGGGUGGGGUGGAGAGGGUGUUUUGGCGCCCACGGAGUACGAAUGGGGAAAAGGGAGGUAGAGAGGAAGGGGGAACCAUGUAUUCAUGGCGCACUUGUCUCAAAUGCGAGGAAAUUUACAAACUUAGCCCCCGUUUCAAAUUUCUACUGUAUCACAGCAACAUUAGUCGGUUGGGGAUAGGACGGUAAUCUCGCAUACACCGAAUAUUUGCCGACGAGAGUUUGUUUUUGGCGUCCAUCGUGUAUGAAUAUGAAUCGGGGAGGGAGUCGAUUUCAGCCGAGGACACAUUGUGUUUUGGCGCCCACCGUGUAUGAAUCCGGGUGAGAGGCGGUUACGUCACAUUUGGGUGAAAUUACAAACCUACCCCUAUGGAAACCUAUAGAAAUCCAGCAGAUAGGCUUUGCGUGGCAGGGAUAGGCAGUAGUGAUUUCCAUCUCGCAGAUUUUGGUUCCGGGCGGUUACUGCGACUUUCCCCGCUUCGUUCAAAUUUUGCAGAGUGCACGUUUACCGUGCCAACUCAAUUCGAAUCCCAUUUGUAUUCUAUUUUUUUCGGGCGGGAUCCAUUUUCAAUUGGAAUUACAUUCUAUAUACAUCAUUUUUUUAUAUAUACUUUCAGAAGCACAACACCAUUUAUACAUAAAUAUGGUUUACAAAUGGCAUGAUCUCAGAUUCAUAAGGUUGUAUCCAUCAAUUUGGAUUUUCAAAUAUUUGAAACCACUUUAUGUUGAAAUCCAAUGUAUGCAUUCCUCGCUAACUGUCUCCAAUUAAUGUGUGUUUCAUGCGGUUUUUUUAACUUCUCAAACAUGUAUAAUGUGUUUCACACACGCAACAUAUAGUGUAAUCCCGUUUAGACAUUAAUUGCAUAUAAACCAUGCAUUGUUUGUAAUUGAAGAAUCUAUGGAUCACCAAUAUUGAUAAACUAUAUAACAUUACACAUGUGCCCAAAUUCAAAUGAAUAUGCAUGUUUGAUACACCAAUUUGCUUAUGAUAUUAUCGAUGUCGUGAUCUCUAGUUUAAAUAUUCGAAUCCCCUUUAAUCCAGAUAUUCGUCUCAUAUAGCUAUCACUCAUGCUUAUAUAGGACUAUCUCUCUGGACCUAUAUGCGUUCAUCGUCUCUCAGGUAUCUCUCGUGCUACCUAUAAGUCGACAAUGAUCUUUUAUCUUUGUAACAUAGUGACGGUACUCUCUCCCUCAACCUUCAUCACUCUAUCUCUCUCUAAGUAUAUCUCGCUCCCUGCUAUGUGUCUCUAACUAUGAUUCUCCAUGUGGAACCUCUUUCUCUCACACAAACACAAAACUUUGUCUCCCGGGGUCUCAUUUCUCUCUACUGUUCCCAUGUGUGCCACUCGCAUUCCCCUCAUACAGAGAUGUCUUUCGCUCCUUAGAUAUGAGAACCUACGACUCUUCCUCUUCAAUAUCUCUUUCUCACACACAAACACAAACUCUGUCUCCCAGGGUCUCAUAUUUCUCCAUUGUUCUCUUGUAUGUCGCUCACACACACCCUCUCUCCCUAGAGAUAUCUUGCGUUCCCUCAUAUGUCUCUCUAGCUAUCACUCUCGUUGUGAAAUAUCUUUCUCUCUCGCAGACACAAAACUCCGUCUCUCUGGAUCUCAUUUCUCUCUGAUAUCUGUUUGUAUGUGACUCACAUGCACCCUCUCUCUAUCUCUCUCACACCCACACACAUAACCCAGCCUUCUGAUCCACUCGACUCCUAUCUCUAACGCACACUAGCUAGCAUCUUUAUCUUUCUAUUUAUCUGUUUCUCCAUCAACCUUCUUUCUCGCCCUCACUCUUGAUUCCUAUCACUCACACUACAUAUGUUUCUCUCUACAUGCAGUCAAGUGCCCUCUCACACACAUAUAUAACUUCACCCUUUGAACCACCCGAUGGUCAUCUCCAACACCCAAACUAACGGAUGUCCCUCUAGCUAGCAUCUCCAUCUCUGUAUCUAUCUGUAGUUUCUCCAUCAACAUUUCUUUCUCGCACGGAGUCUUGCUUCCUAUCACCCACACUAUAUAUGUCUCUCCAUACAUAUGCAUUUAUAGGUUGAUCUCUUUUGCACAAUCGUUGCGCCUCACCCCCUCUGCUCGCCAUAGAUGCAUGCUCCAGCCCACGCCACUAUCUCUUAAAGACAAAAACACAUGCUCAAUUGUUGGGCCUUCUUCCCUGCAUUCUCACAUGCAUGCAUAUUGUCAUACCGGUCCGUCUCUCCCAUGUCGUUGAUCUUAUGACUUAUGUCUUCUUUCUUUUAUCUCGAUCAUGUGCACGCGCACACGCACACACAUCCCACGUAUACAUGUAUACCUCUCACACAUGCACGUUCAAGGUCUCUAUGUCUCCAUACGUAGUUAAUUACCCUCAAUCCUAACGCCACAUUGAAUCGUUCUCCUCUUUUGUGCACAUAACUUUCGCCUGGAUGGGUAAAACAUACACUCACACUUAACAAUAUCCUUCUAGCUACCCCCCCCGCGCCUCUCACUCUUCCCCUAUAUCCUCGAAACCAAUAAGACCAUCCCUUUGUUUAAUUCCCGCCUACAUGCACCAUCGAUAUAUAGUAGUCUUCCUCGGUGUCUCUCGAACAAACACGUUCUCUCGAUGUCGACUCCUCUCACGCGCACGCACCUUCUCUUCCCUCUCUACGGGCAUUUUCUCUCUCGCACCCCAUCGUUGGUGGCCUCUGCCAUACACAUCACCUCUCUAUGAUGAAGCCAUGCACACUUAAAUUACAUACGCCACAGAGGACCCCGCGACACACACACACGCACACACACACGCACACACGCACGCACCCCCCACACACACUAAGACUCCAUCUCUCUCUCUCACUCACACACACACACAAACACACACACACACACACNNNNNNNNNNNNNNNNNNNNNNNNNNNNNNNNNNNNNNNNNNNNNNNNNNNNNNNNNNNNNNNNNNNNNNNNNNNNNNNNNNNNNNNNNNNNNNNNNNNNNNNNNNNNNNNNNNNNNNNNNNNNNNNNNCCCCCACACACACACUUAGACUCCAUCUCUCUCUCUCUCUCACACACACACACACAAACUAAGACUCCAUAUCUCUCCUCUCUCUCUCUCACACACACACAGACACACACACACCCCACACACACACUAAGACUCCAUCUCACACACACAUGCUCUAGGCAGAGCAUUUGUUCCUACCACCCUUCAUCCAACCUUACCCGUAUGAUAAACAAUCACCUUUAUUUACUUGCAUAACAUGGACAAAUUCCACUUUACUUUAGUAGUUAGCAAACUUAUCAUCUGUACCCUUAUAAAAAAAUGAGUUGGCGAUGAUGGUGUGCCUGCCAUCUUGCAAUAUAGACCGUAUGAUCUAUAUCUGACGGAUAGAAAGCAAACUAUGAUAAUUUUACAAAAGAUACCCGCACCUCUAUCCACAUCAUUAUCUCCCGCAACCUCAUUGCUCAGCAAUUAAAAAAGGAAUAAGUCUCUGGAACAAUCUAGCAUGCAUGGUAGCUGCUGCCGCCUGCCGACGCCGUCCAUCCCCACGCCUUCGCCCAUUCCGACCACCAGUUACCACCACGCUCCACUCCUCCUCGCCUUAUCUCUCAUCUUUCAUUUUUUUGAUGACAUUCUCGAGAUACCAGUUUUCCGAUAAAAUUCUCGAGAUAUCAUUAGUUUUUACACAUGAGAUUACUCCUGCAUGGGUUAAUCACAACAGGUGUUUUGUAAAAAAAAUGCAUAUUGAUGUUCCGUGCAAUGCAUGAGAAUCUUGCUUGUAAUUAUAUAGCGCAAAUCACGAGCAGGAAGUGACAUUUUUUUGACACAACCACGUUAACAUGGCCACGUAAAUCACUAGCUAAAGUAAAUAACAUUAUACUUAUAUCCCGAUGCAAAAGGUUGAGUACAUGUCCGAAGAGUAGAGUCGCACACACGCACUUUGUCUCUCAGAAUCUCUCUCUCUCACACACACAACAGUUAUGUGACGCCCACUUAAGCAGACACGAGUAUGUUACAAUUUGUGCACCCGCGGGUACACGUGAUGCUGCGCAUUUAUUUAAGCCGGAAGGCGAACCCAAACAGUAGCUGCAUUCAUUCCCCUCCCGCCGCCUCUUCUCUGGUCGCCGUCGCCCGGUAGCCAUGGGCCGACCGAAGGUAACAACAUACGCCAUAGUCCCGCUGGAGCGGCGCUUUAAUAUGGAAAUAUUAGUGGUCAUGCAUGCAUCUUUUUGUGCUAGCACUCCUAUAUAAGGGUUGACCGGUCGCUUCCUGCGGACGUGCGCGGGCGGUGGAAGAGGAAGGAGAAGGGAAGCGGGCUGUGGAGUAACGUUUUUACCACAAUUUCUUAGGAAACUGAGUGCAAUAAUUGAGUAGUUCUGCAAACUACCAGUACUACACCUGAAACGGUUCAAAACCUAUACUCCCUUGCCAGCGCGUGCUUCCCGCGUGAAACGGUCAGCGUCACCCUGGAGCGUCAGUGCUGCAUUAAUGCCCGACCAGAGCGGAGGCGACCUCUCACUAGCGCCGGCUUUGAAGUGGAACGACGGCCGAGAGAGUGCCGCUUCCCGGUGCACGCGACUGCUCCGCGUCGAGACUGGCCAUAGGCCCUGUUUGGAUCCAUGGGUUAGAGUAAGUUUGAGCUAGUUGGGGCUCAAAUAGCCCUAAAGUAUCCAAGCAUGAGGGUUUAAAUUGGAGCAAGUUACACCAAACCCACCAAAAAAACUAUCCCACUCAAGAGGUGCUAACUGGAGAUAGUUCUCAUUGGGACCACUGAAAAGUCACUUUUCUCUCUCCAUGAACUGCAUUUAUUGUCAAUCUAACCCUGUCACCCAAACACCUCUUUGGCUAUAGUUAGUUCAGGGUUAGUCAUGAGUUAGAGGGUGCUUGGAUAUGUUUUUAGUCUCAUGACUAAAAGUAGCGGGACUAAAACUUGCUAGCCUCACCCAUGCUUGGAUCCAAAUACUAAAGAGACUAAAUCAAGUUAAUGAGCAUUUGUUAUCCUCCAAACCCUCCAAUCUAGAACUCGCCUGUGUUAAAGGAGAGGAGUUAAAUGAGGAGAGAGAGGACUAAUCCACAUUUUAGUAGGGGUACCCCUGACUAAAAUUUUUUAGUCUCAAGACUAGUUUUAGCCCCUCUUUAGUCAGGGGUGCUUGGAACUUUAGCCUCUUAAAGAGACUAUUUUUAGUCAGACUAAAAUAAGUCCCUUGGAUCCAAGCACCCUCUUAGUCCAACCUCUAGCUAAGUUAGAGUAUCAAACAGGAGCAGUAUAGGACAUGCAAGUUGCUCAAAGCAUACAGGCAAAUUCGUACAUGAAAGGAUUUUUUUUCUUUUUGAAAACGGAACAUGAAAGGAAUUUUUUUUAGAAUGCUCUUGGCAUGUCGCUAACAUGUGAUAGUUAACCGACCUCAAUAGACAGCAGAAACGCCAGCCCGCCGCACUUUGAUAGAGACGAGGAGGGAGAAGCGAUACAGGCUGCUAGAUUACUAGAGAUAGGUGUCGCACGGAAGCCAAGAAAUAUGGUGAUAGCGUGGGUUAGCCAUGUACUAGUAUGAUGUAACUACACUGGGCUGCCGUGUUCGUACUCUUCCAGUCCACUAUGGAGAUGAUUGGUUAAUUUUAUAUCGCUGAAUAAUAUUAAAUAUUAUGAGUGCAGACGCUCCACCACGAGGUUCCUUGCUCCUUCUCGGUCGUCCAGAAUCUAUGUUCUGCCACUCUAUUUUUUUAUGUGAGCUUUGUUCAUCCUUUUGCCCACACGCGAGACAUCUACAUAAAGGUGCACGUGUUAUGCAAGGAUCGUUCCAUCUAUAUGAAGAACACAUGGGACUGGAACUACGAGACAGACAUGUACCCAGGAGUGGACAUACGAGCCUGAGUAAUGUAGCGCAGUAAGUGAAGUAGAAAGGCACAAAUGGUAUGAACAUGCGUGGCAUAUAGGGUGUGUUUGGUUGAGUUCUCGUCUCAGCAUAGUUGUUCCCUCUUCAUGCAUGCUCAACUCAACACCCCUCUUCAUGCAUGCUCUCUUCAUGCAUGCUUCUAGUGUAUUUGUGCUAAACUAGUGUGGACUCAUGCACCCUCCAUACACUCUACCAAACACCCAAAAGUAGGUCGAGAAGGGAACUCUUGGGCGACAUUUGUCUCUUACUACGUACUACCACUAAAUGUUGUACGUGCAAUGCACGGUGAUGUUAUGGAGUACGUGCCUAAGUACUCUACUACUACUAUAUUAGUUGGAGGCACAUAUUAACUUUUAUAUUUGUUUACGUGUAUGCCCCGAGACCUUCCAACUAGACGUGUCUUUCUCUCCAGGUCGCACUUUGUAUCGUUUAUACCACUAAGUACUACUACGUGUGGUCUCCGACCCAGAAGUGGAAGAAGUGGAGAUGCUCUACCACGCUGUUUUUUACGCUGGGCUCUACCACGCUGUUCAUGUCCCACACCUUUCGCUGACGUGUGGGACAUCCAGCACGUGCCGUGUUUGGCACCCUUCGUCGUAAGAGUUGAAACGCUAGCAUUCAUCAGAAAUAAAAAAUAAUUAUAAAUUAGCAGUGAUACUAUUUUUUUUGCAAACCAAUCAGCAGUGAUACUAUACCACGCGGUUUCCUUGCUCCUCGAUAUCGGAAAGAAUACUUCCGUUCGCCAACAUGUGGGAUGCCGACCAUCCUGGUCCACUUUCCAUACACACAGAACUCCAAGGGAGAUUCACCCAGGUCGUCGUGCCGCAGUAACAAUGACUAAUGAGCCGUCAAAUCACAGGCCCAUUCCCACUUUGAAGUUGCUCGGACGAAGGAACCAUCAUUACUUCGUUGAAUUCCGCUUCUUGAAGAAAACUACUGUACCAGCAGUACUGCUAGCUACAGUAGUUACUCCAACAGAGGCCUCCUUUCGUUCAUAGGAUAGGAAUAUGAAAAUCAUAGGAAGUGAGAUGACAUGCAUCUCAAUUCCUAUAGAGAAAGAGAUGCCAUUUGAUGCUUAGGAUAGGAAUUUUUCCAUUUAGUCUAGGCUAAUGUACUGGUAAUUUGCUCUAAAAACUACAGUAGUAACUAGUAGUACUGGUACAUGCUCGUACUCAGACACAGACACAUACACACUAACUACUAGUACUACUACUUCUCACAUGCUGGCCAGACGCCGUUGUUCUCCUUCCCGGCUUUGUUGGCGACACCCCACCGUGCUUGGAUCUCCGCCGAUCUCUCCGCAGCAGUACGUGCGUCCUUUUCUUUCUUGCGGCGGCGGGUGUCGGUGUCAAAACCGGCGGAUCUUGGGUAGGGGGUCCCGAACUGUGUGUCUAGGCGGAUGGUAACAGGAGACGAGGGACACGAUGUUUUUACCCAUGUUCGGGCCCUCUCGAUGGAGGUAAAACCCUACGUCCUGCUUGAUUAAUAUUGAUGAUAUGGGUAGUACAAGAGUGGAUCUACCACGAGAUCAAGGAGGCUAAACCCUAGAAGCUAGCCUAUGGUAUGAUUGUUGUAAUGUAUGUUGUCCUACGGACUAGAGCCCUCCGGUUUAUAUAGACACCGGAGGAGGCUAGGGUUACACAGAGUCGGUUACAAUGGUAGGAGAUCUACAUAUCCGUAUUGCCAAGCUUGCCUUCCACGCCAAGGAAAGUCCCAUCCGGACACGGGACGGAGUCUUCAAUCUUGUAUCUUCGUAGUCUUGGAGUCCGGCGGAUAAUGAUAGUCCGGCUGUCCGGAUACCCCCUAGUCCAGGACUCCCUCAGUAGCCCCCGAACCAGGCUUCAAUGACGAUAAGUCCAGCGUGUUUAUAGUCUUCGGCGUUGCAAGGCGGGUUCUCCCUUCGAAUUCCAUGUAUCCGCCGAACAGUGUCCAGCUUUAUCUUGAAUACCGUGUCCCUCGGCUUCUACGCCAAAUAAUGGCCUUUUGCCACGCGUCGCACGAAUGCGAAAAGCCAGGGUGUCUUUUGCAUUCCACCCCCUAGUUGCGCGAGUCGUCCGCCUAUAAAAGAGGCAAGAAUCCAGAUCCAAACCACACCGUCAUCCUCCCGCGAAUACUCAGCGAAGCGCCUUUGACCUAGAAAUCCAUUCCAUCAUGGAUUGUCGACGCGGCUCUUCUUCACGUGCUCCCAGCCCACCACCGGGGAAUUGGAGGAGGUGCUCUAUUUCGCACAACGAGCUAGUGAAGCUCCAAACGGGGGGAUUUCUCCCUCCGGCCUUCAUGGUCCCAGUCCAGGCCGGACUGGUUACUUAUCAAGGUGGGAGGCAGGCGGAGGACACUCCAAGCCCCAAUAAGGGGGAGCGAGUAUGCUUUGUCCCCUAUCUGAUAAGGGGACUCGGAUUUCCAAUACAUCCGUUCCUCCGCGGGCUCCUGAAGUUCUACAGACUCCAGCUCCACCACCUCACGCCCGCCUCUGUCCUGCAUAUCGCGGGCUACGUAGCUCUUUGUGAGCUAUUCCUGGGCAUCGAGCCCCAUUUUUCAUUGUGAAAGAGGCUGUUUUGCCUCGUACCUCGUUCUCACGAGGGAUCCAUAUAUCAAGUGGGCGGCGCCGAAAUAUGGCGCAUCGCCGGGACCGGAUACCUAUCCGGUACUCCCAAGAAGGCGUCCGAAGACUGGCCCUCGGAGUGGUUUUAUAUAGGAGACGCUCCGCUGCCAAACCCAGUCCGGAUCGGCCUCCUGGAGUUUAGUGCUGCUCCCUUGAAGAAACGCCUCAGCUGGCGCCCGCGGAGCCCCCGAUUGGAGGAAGACAAGAGCGUCCAUUACUUGAUGGGCCGGAUAAGAUUAAUGGCCCAUUCCGGCUUGACCAUGAUCGGAGUCAUGGCGACAUGGGUACAGCCAUUGCAAUACAGAGGCCACCCCAUGUGGGAUUUCAACGGGGAAGACGAUGCUACCCGGCACGGCCGCAAAGGGCCGGAUUCGACCGAGGAUCUGGUGAAGAUCCUGUCCAGCCUGUACAAGGGGGAGAAGGAGGACUUCCUUCGAACGAACCCUUUGAAUGGGUUUUCCAUGAUCAACCCUAGAGGAUGGGUAAGUGAACACCUUGAAGGGCUCAACCCAUGCUUUCGAAGUUUAAGCUUCUUACAUUAUGUCUUCGGCGCAGGAUCUACGCCGGACUGUGGAGGACAUGGUGAGUUCUGCUCCGCAACCCGAGGAUCCAGAAGGAUCCCUGGAUCCGGCCUCCGAAGAGGACCCGGACAUCAAGGUGGAGCUGAUCGACGGGGUGUUUCACCAGCUUAGCAUAGACAAUGCCUUGGUUGCCAUUACGGCGGACUACCCCGGACCAAGUCCGGCUUCCCAGGUGACCAUGACCGAAAUCCGGACACCAUUAUCUCCUCUCUGCCCAUUUCUAACCCUCGCGAACGACGGUAUUUCGCAGGAAGUGCCUUUACGGCAGGAAGCCGAGCCCGCGGCGGCUGGCCAACAGAGGCCAGUCCGGACCAGCAGGCGGAAAAGGAGCGCGGUGCGGGCGGAAACGUCACCUCAAAGGUAUAGCUCGUAUUCGAGUUUUCAGAGCAACGUUCCGAGGAAACGCCUGAGUGCUCAUGAUCUUUGUAGGAGAAAAAGCGCCCGCCGGACUGCGAGCGCAGGAAUUGCUGAUCCGACCAGCACCGGCCAGGCUCCAGCGCCCGACCUGGAGGGGGAGGCAAGCGCAAGACGCGAGCCGGAUCCUUCUCCAACGGAGGAUACCAACAGACUGUCCGCCACCAAGUCUGAGGUGGAGAGCGCCAUGAACCAUAGGCGCCGCCGGACAGUAUUUCGUGAAGCGUGCUUUUCCCCUGAGGCAUUGGAUGCCUUUAACGCAGGGGACGCGCAUCUCCGUGCCGCUCAAAAUGGUUUUACCAGAGCCACGGAGCAAUAUGUGAAAGACACACGGGUAAGGGAAUUUUAAUGGUUGUAUAUACCAGUAGCCCCCGAGACUUAAAGCAGUUAUGCUAACUGAUUUGAGGAUCAUUUGGAAACGCAGGCUCUUACCGAGAAGAACGCCCAGCUAUCUCGGGAGCUGCAAGAUUGCAAGGCCCAACUUGAGGCCGCACUUGCUGCCGCAGGAGGAGACGCAAAAACCCCUCCUGGUAACACAUUUUUAUUAUUAAAUAUAAGCGUUGUGCGGCGUGCGCGCGAGUCUAAUGAUAACAUUGCAGGUACCGCCGGACAAGAUCCGGACAGGCAAGCAUUGCUGCGCCAGCUAAAGGCUGGUGAGAGUGUGCUGAACAGGGUUCAGCAGGAAAGGAACAAGCUCCAGGAUGCCAACGUCAAGCUCGGAGAAGAGCUGAAAGGCGUUCGGGCCGAUCUGUCCGGCUCCGUUAAGGAGAAUCAACAGCUUCAUCGCGGCAUUUAUAGUAAGUGCUUGAGCGGACUCUUUUGAAAAGAAGAGUUCGGCGAGGAAGUAUUUUGACAUGAUCUGUCUUGUAGGUAUACUCACGGGUUGUCCUGCAGAGGAGAUGCCCAUAUCAACGGGUGAUCAACUUCCCGAACUGUUGCAGCUACUCGAAUGAGUUCGGCAGGCAAUGAGCGGCGUCGUUCAGGCUUUAUGGCCAACCCUCACCCUACCCGAGGGCCUCGGGGAGCUUGCGGAGAAGCUGCAGGGAGUGCGACCGCGCUUCCGUUUGUGGAAGAUUUCGGCUUGCCGUCAGGGUGCCAGGGAGGCUUGGGCCAUGGUGAAGACGCGCUACAAGAAGGCGGAUCCCAACCACAUGGCCGAAGUUGGACCAGUGGGGCCCGAUGGGAAGGAGAUCCCUGGGAGUUUAGCAUACAGCCAAGUAGAGUUGGCUGCUAAAUUUUCCCAACGGGACUGUAAACUAGACAGCCUGUUAGACGGGAUUGAGGAGGAAUACAAUUAGUAAAUUUGACAAUGUAUGUUAUCCUUUAAAGUGACAUGUGAAAUGCCUUCUAGCCGGAUUGUAGAUCGUUUGUCUUUGCCGACCUUUUCGCUUCAACCUCGGGACCCUAGAGUCCGGAGUGUGUCCGAAUACCUCUUUGGUUAAGAAACAACUGUGGUAUGCAUGGAGACCAGGCGUAGGGGUCAUUAGUGCUUUAUCAGACAAGUGCCCAACUAGUUAUGUUAUAUUACAUGGUUAGUAAGAAACAUCUUCCAGGGAGAAUAGUUCCGUUAAGGGUUCCUUUCCCUGGGAGGCAUGCCCUAAAGUGCAUGUCCGGACUGCAAAGAAAGCAGUAAAACAUCUGGGGGCAAAUAGAUAAAUAGGUAAAAAGUCAUAUUUUAAGUCACCGACCGAAUAUUCCCUUAAGAACGCUAGCUUUCGGCUUCACCCAGUCUGAGGUACACAUCCGGCUGACCCGGCAGUAACAAUCGCAGAGGUGCUCCCUUUACCUCCUAGCCGAACAAUCGGGAACGUAGGGGUAAGCACAGGAGCCAGGCAAUCCAGCUUGGCCAAAACUUAAGUCAUAUCGAUGCAUAUAAUGGCGAGUAAAAGGUACAUGUGGAAGCUUGACACAUGUGCUCGGUAUAAAACCCGUAUAAUUGAGCUUCUAUAAAAGAAGCCCCCAGGAAUAAUGAGUGCGGAUGGCACAUCAUACGUAUGCAAAAAAUGCAAAAAUAGGCACGUAAGGGCUUUUAAAUAAAAAUUAUAAAAAGAGAAACAAAAGACAGCCGAAGUGUAAAAUUUUGGACGGGGGAAGGGGACGAACUCUUAGUCCGGCGCUAGGCAUAGAAUCGUCGGAGGCGGGCUGCGUUCCAUGGGUUCGGCUCGAGUCGGUUAUCCGACGCAUUUCGUAGACGGUAUGCUCCGCCGGUCAGGACUUGAUCGAUAAUGAAGGGACCUUCCCAUUUGGGCUUGAGCUUGUCCUUUUUCUUGUCCGGCAGGCGUAGAACUAGUUCGCCAACGUUGUAAGUCUUGGCCCGUACUUCUCUGCUUUGAUAUCUUCGGCCCUGCUGCUGAUAAAAUGCGGAACGAGCCUUCACGAUGUCACGUUCUUCCUCCAAUGUGUCCAAGCUGUCCUGCCGAUCAAGCUCGGCCUCUCUUUCCUCGUACAUGCGCACUCGAGGUGAGUCAUGAAUAAUGUCACAGGGCAAGACUGUCUGUGCGCCGUAUACCAUAAAAAAUGGUGUGAAUCCGGUAGUACGGUUAGGCGUUGUCCGCAGCCCCCAGAGUAUGGAGUCGAGCUCCUCGACCCAUUGUGUGUCAGAUUUAGUAAGUGACCUCACUAGUCUGGGUUUAAAGCCGCUCAUUAUUAGACCAUUUGCUCUUUCCACUUGACCGUUGGUUUGAGGGUGAUAGACUGACGCGUAGUCGAGCUUGAUGCCCAUAUUUUUGCACCAUGACUUAACCUCGUCGGCUGUGAAGUUCGUGUCGUUGUCGGUGAUGAUGCUGUGGGGGACUCCGUAACGGUGUACCACCCCUGAUAUAAAGUCUAUCACUGGUCCGGACUCUGCCGUUUUGACCGGUUUGGCCUCUAUCCAUUUGGUGAAUUUAUCCACCAUGACCAAUAGGUACCUUUGCUUGUGGGUUCCCCCUUUAAGGGGUCCAACCAUGUCAAGCCCCCAGACCACGAAUGGCCAGGUAAUGGGUAUGGUUUUGAGGGCGGUGGGUGGCAUAUAGCUCUGAUUAGCAAAGAUUUGACAACCAACGCAUCGCAGGACCAAGUCCUGCGUGUCUGCCCGAGCCGUCGGCCAAUAAAAUCCUGUACGGAAUGCCUUUCCUACAAGGGCCCGGGCUGCUGUGUGGUGUCCGCCUAGUCCGGCAUGAAUUUCAGCCAGGAGGUUUCGCCCUUCCUCUUCGGAGAUACACCUUUGAAGGACUCCGGUUGUACUUUUCUUAUAAAGUUCUCCCUCAUGGACCUUGUAGGCCUUCGAUCGCCGGACUAUGCAGCGGGCCUCAUUUUGGUCUUCGGGAAGUUCCUGCCUAAGUAAGUAGGCUAGGAAAGGUUCUGUCCACACGGCGAUUACUGCCAUUAUGACGUGGGUUGAGGGUGUUAUGUCAUCUGCCGAAUCACCGGUUGGUGCGGUUUUCUCCGGUUUGUCACUGCCGGGCUCCUCUUCCCAUAGUACGGAUGGAUUGAAGAGCCAUUCGAGGAAGAUAUUAGGAGGGACGGCAUCACGUUUCGCACCGAUGCGUGCCAGUACGUCGGCCGCUUGGUUAUUAUCUCGAGCUAUGUGAUGGAAUUCCAGUCCUUCAAACCGAGCUGACAUUUUUAGGACGGCGUUACGAUAUGCUGCCAUUUUCGGAUCCUUGGCGUCAAAGUCUCCGUUUAUUUGGGAUAUUGCAAGGUUCGAAUCCCCGCGCACCUCCAGGCGUUGAAUGCCCAUGGAGACUGCCAUCCGGAGACCAUGUAACAGGGCCUCGUAUUCGGCUGCGUUGUUGGAGUCCGUGUACAUUAUUUGAAGUACGUACUGGACUGUAUCUCCGGUUGGGGAUGUCAGUACGACGCCAGCCCCCAGUCCGGCCAACAUUUUGGAGCCGUCGAAAUGCAUAGUCCAGUUGGAGUAUGUGCCGUACUCUUUAGGGAGUUCGGCUUCUGUCCAUUCGGCGACGAAGUCAGCUAGAACUUGUGACUUUAUGGCUCGCCGAGGUUUGUAAGUUAUGUCGAAUGGUAAGAGCUCAAUGGCCCAUUUUGCGAUCCUGCCCGUUGCAUCGCGGUUAUUUAUAAUGUCAUUGAGUGGUACUUCAGAGGCCAUUGUUAUUGAACACUCUUGAAAGUAGUGCCGGAGCUUUCGGGACGCCAUGAACACCGCAUAUGCUAUCUUCUGAUAGUGCGGGCAAUGGGAUUUGCAGGGGGUUAACACAGUGGAUACAUAAUACACUGGUUUCUGAAGAGGGAAUUUAUGCCCUUCUGUCGCUCGUUCGACGACGAGGACCGCGCUUACGACUUGAUGCGUUGCUGCGAUGUAUAACAACAUUGGUUCGCCCAGAGUGGGCGCAGCCAGGACCGGAUUUGUUGCCAAUAUGGCCUUUAUUUCUUCGAGUCCGGCAGUGGCAGCAUCCGUCCACUCAAAGUGUUCGGUGCGCCUGAGGAGGCGAUAGAGGGGCAACGCUUUUUCUCCUAGACGGGAGAUAAAGCGGCUUAAGGCUGCCACACAUCCCGUUAAUUUUUGUAUUUGUUUGAGGUCUUUUGGAAUAUCCAACUGUGACAGAGCUCGGAUUUUAUCCGGAUUUGCUUCAAUUCCUCUACCGGAUACAAUGAAGCCCAGCAGCUUUCCGGCUGGUACGCCGAAAACGCAUUUUUCCGGAUUCAGCUUGAUGUCGUAUGCUCUGAGGUUGUCAAAUGUGAGCCUCAAAUCGUCUACUAGAGUUUCGACGUGUUUUGUUUUGACGACUACGUCGUCUACGUAUGCCUCGACUGUUUUGCCGAUCUGGGUGGCCAGACAUGUUUGAAUCAUGCGCUGAUAUGUUGUGCCGGCAUUUUUAAGUCCGAAGGGCAUCGUGUUGAAGCAGAAUGGUCCAUAUGGAGUGAUGAAUGCCGUUGCGGCUUGGUCUGCUUCCGCCAUCUUGAUUUGAUGAUAGCCAGAAUACGCGUCCAGGAAGCACAACGAAUCAUGCCCUGCUGUAGCAUCGAUAAUUUGAUCGAUGCGGGGGAGAGGGAAGGGAUCCUUUGGGCAAGCCUUAUUGAGGUCUUUAAAAUCGACACAGAGGCGCCAGGAUUUAUCCUUCUUUGGUACCAUCACCAGGUUUGCUAGCCAGUCCGGAUGUUUGAUAUCUCUAAUGAAUCCGGCUUCCAAUAGUUUGGCUAGCUCUUCUCCCAUUGCCUGUCUUUUGGGUUCGGAAAAUCGUCGAAGAGCCUGUUUGACUGGCUUAAAUCCUUUUAGGAUGUUUAGGCUGUGUUCUGCCAACCUGCGUGGGAUUCCGGGCAUGUCCGAAGGAUGCCAGGCGAAGAUAUCCCAAUUUUCCUGAAGGAAUUCACGCAGUGCGGCGUCUACUUCGGGGUUCAAUUGUGCCCCGAUGGAGGCCAUCUUUGUUGGGUCCAUUGGAUGGACCUCGAAUUUUAUUAUCUUAUCUGCUGGUUUGAAGGAGGUGGACUUGGAUCUUUUAUCGAGUAUCACAUCGUCCCUGUUUACCGUAGAGCGCAGCGCGGUGAGUUCUUCUGCCGCUAAGGCUUCGGAUAGUGCCUCGAGGGCUAGUGCGGCUGUCUUGUUUUCGGCGCGGAGUGCUAUGUCCGGAUCACUAGCGAGAGUGAUUAUUCCGCUGGGCCCAGGCAUUUUGAGCUUCAUGUACCCGUAAUGAGGUACUGCUUGAAAAAUUGUGAAUGCCUCUCGUCCUAAUAUGGCGUGAUACCCGCUGCUGAAUGGGGCCACCUGGAACGUGACUUCUUCGGAUCUGUAAUUGUCCGGAGAGCCGAACACCACAUCGAGUGUGAUUUUUCCGGUGCAGCGCGCUUCCCGGCUAGGGAUUAUUCCUCUAAAGGUUGUGCUGCUUCGCUCAAUACGGCUCCAAUCGAUCUCCAUUUUUCGCAGAGUUUCCUCGUAAAUGAGGUUUAGUCCGCUGCCGCCAUCCAUGAGGACUUUUGUCAGUCGAAAGCCGUCCACUAUGGGACUAAGUACCAGUGCGGCUGGGGCUCUGGUUGUUCGGAAUUUAGGCUCGUCGCUGGCGUUGAAGGUAAUAGCUGUGUCGCUCCAUGGAUUUGCUGUUGCUACUUGGUAGACUUCGGCGAGUCUGCGGAUUGUUCGCUUUCGCAUAUUAUUUGAUGCGAAGGUCUCGAAGACUGUUGAUACCGUGCUGGUAUUGUUGGAGUGGCUUCCCGGAGCUAGAAGCUCUUCGCCACUUUUGGCCACCUGCCGUAAUAUCCAACAUGCUCGAAGACUAUGUGUUGGGACGGCCCCCUCUGUACUAUGAAGCUUACAGGGUCCAUUGAGCCAUCCCUCCAGUACGGUUCCGUUUCCCUUAUUGGGUUUUUGUUUUCUCAUUUUUGCAUCCGGGGCCUGAGUGUAAGGCACCCUUUUGCUGCGGACUGGGUUUGGUGUCGGAUUAUCCCAAAAUUGAUUUUCGGUUUUCCGGAAGCUCUCCAUCGCACAGUACUUCCGUACUAUGGACGCCAGUGUCACACCCUAGCUAGUUCAUGCAUUAGAGUGUUGCAUCAUGUCUAUUUCAUUCAACAGAAACCUGAAAUGGGAAUGACAGAACUCCCAGCCCCCUCUGAAACAAACUAGGGUUUACUAAAAAUAUUUUCGAUGAACCUGAAAUGCCCUUCUAAAAUGUCCAUCAUUUUUGUCUUGGUUCAGAACCUCUGCCAAAAGUGAUGCACAAUUUCCUAGGUCAUACUAAGGUCUUUGAAUUAAAUCAUAAUUAUUUGAAUUUGGGCAUUUAAAAUUAUAUAAAAUAUUUCAAAUGUCCAAAUAUUCCCAAUCUAAAAUGUUUCAUGUUGGAAAUAUUCCAACAAUGGACCAGGAGUAGUUUGGUGAAUUUUAGAACCUUUUAGGUAUUUUUAAUAAUUCAACAAAGUUGCAGAAGAAUAAAAUAAAGUAAAUAGAAAAG
rnacentral:lncRNA from 1 species